rnacentral:lncRNA from 1 species
UUUUUUUUUUUUUUGGUCUGUAGGAAUGCAUAUGACUUAAUUUAGUUAUUUUUUUGAAAAAAGGAGUACGUAGUAGCUAUGUUUAGUCGUACAUACCACUGAGAAUUUUGGUAUAUAUAACAAUUGUUCAAUUUAAUCAAAACCUUUCUAAAUCCAAUGAACACGUAGAAAAAUAAGCUCGAUCAGGCUAAUGAUGUCAAUCUAUAUACAACUUCAAGGAAGGAUAAAUAAUUGCUUUCGUCCAUUCUAAUGUUGACUUACUUAUUCAACCAAAAAAAAAAAAGGUUUCUUUUCUUGUUUUCUGAAGUGUUUUCUUUGUACUGAUAGGAGAGGCCUCAAUUGUACUAAAAAAUAUAACUUGCACCAAACCUAUUAUUGGAGACGGCAGAUGUACUGCGCAAACAUAAACAGAAAUUUGCAUUCAUUGGAAUAUAUUUAAUAUCAAUCUUAAUUUUUUUCAACAGUGAUGGAUAAUGCAUGAUGAAGCAAACGUUUGGUGAGGUUGGAUGAGGUUCAGGUCAAAGCUUGAGGACAAAUACACCUUCAGCAAUUUUGUAGACAUAGGAAUUGGCAUUUUGGUUAAAUACACCUUGAGCAAAUUUUUUUUUUUUUUUGUUUCUUAUGGCAAAAUAGACAAAUCAGACACACCAACAACAAAAAAAGAAGCCACUUACCUCUGUUAAAAAGCUUUAAUCUUUACUUUGAACCUAAAUCAGAUACUUAAGAGUGCAGGAGAGGAGCACAAAAAUAAGACCAAGAUUCUUGAACUACUCAAUUCUAAAAUGUAUGGUUAGAAAAUUUCAUUAAAACAAUUUUAACAAGCUUUAAAUUUCUAUUGAAGAUAAAAAAAAAAAAAUGUUCUUAUCAGUGUCUAUUUCUUUACACACAGAGGAUUGUUACAGAAAAACUGUGUAUCGUAACAGGAUUCCUUAUUCCAACAACCAUAUCAUUGGCAUUACUUGGUGAAGGCUUGAAAAGUUUCUAUUGUUUAAUCACACUUGUUUAAUUUCUGGCAUAAGAAAAAUAAGACAUUUUUUCAAACCAUCCGCUUCUGCACUAGAAGGACUUCCUAUUUAUAGCCAAUAGAUUAUGCUCAUCCUAAGCAUAUUUUCCCUACCAUAGCUGAAAGCCAGAUACUCCCUAAAAACCAUACACCAAUCAUACCACUGACCGCAUUUCCUUUGCACCAUGUCUAGCUCAUUUUUCGGUUCAAUCACAAGUGAGCAAAGAUGGACUGAUCAGUUGAAUGAGCAUUUCAUCAUAUACAUUGACAAUCAUGCUUCCAUCUUUCGUGUACCCAAAAAAGUAUGCGACACAAAGCCAGAAGCUUAUGCCCCUCAGCAGAUAGGCCUAGGAGCAUAUCAUCACUUGAGGCCUGAUCUUGAUGAAAUGGAGAUCAGAAAGCUUGAGGCUGUGAAGAAAUAUUUGAAGCCAGAACAGUGCCAGAAUUUCAAAAGCCUAAUUGUCGACAAGGUCAAAGUGCUUGAGCCCUCGGUGCGCACCUGCUACAGCAAGUACUUGGACAUUGAUGGCGGUACUUUGGCAUGGAUCAUGUCUAUUGACGGUGUAUAUUUGCUUCAUCGGCUGGGCACCUACACAGAUAAAGCAAGUGUUGAUUCGGCAGACAGGAAGUUAGCUCAGGACAUUGUCAUGUUGGAGAAUCAAAUGCCCGUGAUUGUACUGAAAGAAAUACUAAAGGCUUUACAACCUCCUGUGGAAGAUGAGGAGGAAGGUAGCGAUGAUGAUGAUGAUGCUGAGAACGAGGAUGAGGAAGGUGAAGAAGAUGAGGAGGAAGAAGAAGAUGACGGAGAGGAUGAGGACGAAGGUGAGGAGGAGGAAAUAAAAAAGGUCGAAGAGUUAUUUUCCCAGUUCUUGUCAUUUUGUAAAGCACACACUCCCCUUGGCCUAACUGAUAAGGCAGGAAUUCUUGGCGAUACCUCUAAUCCUCAUCUUCUGAGUUAUUUGUAUAAUUUGAUUGUGAAAAAUUGGUAUAUUGAAGAAGAGUAUGUUGAAUCUGCGAGUGACAGAGAAUUGGAUGAGGUUGCUGAGAAAGUUACACAGGUUGCGAGGGUUGCAGCUGAAUUGACGGGCCAGAAACCUCUAUUGUUGCUAGCAAGUUUACCACUGCAGAAAUUUGCGGCACUUUUCAAAAAAGAUCCAAGAAGAGGAAACUCUUCAAUUGAGGAGAUCCGAAUACCGUCUGUUUCGGAACUUGAUGGUGUUUCUAAAGUAAAGUUUGAAGUCUGGUCUGAUUCAGGUAUUGGAAUGAAGUAUGAUGAAGAGGGCCGCAUACUCUACCUCCCAGGAAUCACAUUGGACACUGAUUCAGAAGCAAUAUUACGAAACCUGGUUGCCUAUGAAGUUGCCACAGCUUCUCCAAAAUCAACCCUUAUACUUGCAGGAUAUGUGGAUUUCAUGUGCGGCAUUAUUGACACUGCUAAAGAUGUAGAUUUGCUCAAGGAAAAGGGAAUCAUAAUAAGCAAUCUCCCGAGUGAAGAAAUCGCAAAAAUCUUCAAUGGGAUAAGCAAAUCUAGUAGUCAGAAUCCUCUUCCCGAAUUGGAAGAGGCCACUCAGAAGUUGAACGCGAUAUAUGACAACACUUUCAGAGUCAAAGCUUGGAGAUUCAUAAGAGACCAUUUUGUUCCAUCUGAGGCCGCUGUCAAAAUCUUUCUUGCCAUAUUGCUUGUUGUGCUCCUCACAGUACAAGCAUUUUGCCAGGUUUAUGGCUGCAGUGCUCGUUGGUUUGGCAAGAUCAGUUCCAUUUCGUCAUUUUGAAUUUAUAGAAGUUUCUGUUUCCUUCAGGCCUUUCAGUUUUUCUUUACAGUAAUUUGUCUCUCUCUGAUUCUAAAUGCAGUGUUCUUAUCAUGAUUUCUUAGUUUUGUGGAGGUGUUAAUUUUCUUCUUUUUACUACAACCUAAUAAUUAGUAUAUUAUAGUAAUUAGCCAUAGCAACUCCAAUAAUUUGUUAUAAAUUUACUAUAGCAAAGGUUCAUACCAAAGGUUCAGUAGGCGAUUAGGAUAUAACUAAAAGUUUAAAAGAGUGUCAUCAAUAGUUUACUAUUCUUAAAGUCUUCCCCUAGCUUUUAAUUUUUUUUAUUUUUAUUUUCAUAUACUCUUAAUGGAAAAAUUAUAAAUUUAAAUUUUUUAAAAGUUUCAGUUUACCCACUAAACUAAUUUUUGUGCCAAAUAACCUACUAAACUUUUUAAAAAUUUUAUUUCACUCACUCAACUAUUUUUUGUUCAAAAUUAUCCACUAACUUUUUUUGGUGAUCUAUUUUGACCAUUCUGUUAAAUUUUGCCCAACAGAAGUUUGCCACGUAACCCAGUUUUGAAUAUAUGAAUUUGUCAUUUCACACCUAAAACCUAUCUGUGCAUUGGAAAUGCCUAUUAGAAAGCGUGAAAGCAUGGUUUAACAGAGCAUAUUCGUUCCAAUUUAUUUGGUUUAUAUCGUAACAGAGCUAAAUCACAAACUGGAUUAUUUUGUUGUUGUCUUUCUCUUUUCUUUUUUUGGCUUUCUGGCUGAAACAAAACUACCAAGUUUUUUUUGUUUUUUGGGUCCAUCAACAAUUUUCAAAUUAAGAUUACGUUUAUGCGAAAGAGAAGUAUUUGGUUUUUAUGCUUAUCAAUGAAUCAAGUUAUUUGGUUUUCUUUCUUUUUUCUUUUUUGCUUUGUAGCUGAAUCAAAACUACUAAGUUUUUAUGCUCCAUCAUCAAUUUUCAAAUUAAGGUUAGGUUUAUGUGAAAGAGAACUAUAAAAUUUAAGCUUGCCAUUCUACUUUCAUAAACUUGUGGGUUCAUAACAAAAUCAUUCUUGCUUUAAAUUCACUUCCAACUGCAAAAUUUGGUACUGUACUUGAAACUUAAGAUGACAUUAUAAUGCCUCAUGUCGAAGACAGUUGAAUUUUUUUUCUUGUUCGGUCCUAUCUCUCAUCGAGGCACCAAACGAAAAAUAAUGCGGCAUCAACAUAACUUAAAGGGUUAAUUACAUAUACCUCCUUUAAGAUUUGGCAGAUUUGCGAAAUUUACAAUGUAGUUUGGCCAAAUUACAGUUAUACUUCAUAAAUAGCCAAAUAUUUUUCAAGUAUCCCCAUCAUAUAAUAAUGUUCUAGAUCCCCAUGACUCUUUUGUAAUUUGACCUAAUUACAUUUGCCUAUCUUGAACAUUGCCCAAAUCACAAAAGGAAUUGCUUUCAUUGUACAAGUCCUUGUUUAAACACUUUGAAUAACCAGAUAAUUAUUAAAAAAAACCUCCAUGUGUCAAUUGAUCUUAACUAUAUAAAUGACAGUAACAUGAAUAAGAUUUUACUAAAAUUCCUUUUUUAAAAAUUUUUUUCUAGCAAGAAGGGAUGGCAUUUACGAAAUGGGGAGGGAAAGAAGGAUCUGAAUAUACAGGACUUCUAAGAUUUGAGAUUUUAAAUUCCUAAAGUAUCAUGUGCAUAAUCCUUUUUUCCUACCAUAAGCUACAAUUAGUGCAACCAAAACCCAAGUCAUGAGGCAUCAUCAAUUAUAACAUUGAAGUCACCAAAGGAGUUGAUUUAGCCACCAAGUUUUGCUGAAACCAUUUAAAGCCUAGCGUAUCUCUUUUUUUUUUUUCCUAAUUUACUUCAUGAUUUUAAGUCUCCAAUUCGAUUCAUUAUCUUUGGUCUCCAUUUUCAUUUGUCAUGAUCAUCAAGAAGUCCUUUUGCAAGUAUACAUUCCUAUGAUAUUACCAAUCAUGUUUAAUUAAUUACCCACUACAAACGUGACAAAGUUAAUUGAGACUAACAAUGACCUAAAACUUGCAAUUUUUCUUUCAAAAUAAACUAAUGCAACUUGACUUGGUUGAGCUAAGAAAACGGAAAAUAAAAUGUGCAAGCAACGCAUAUGUAUACAUGCAUUUGUCCCAGGAUAUGACAAGAGACACUAGAUUAGUAUCUAGUUACAAUAUACUUCUUGUCACUUUAAGUUCACCGCCUAUAAUGCAAUUGUUGUUUUCAUCCUGUUUGUCACCCACUGCAAAUGUGACAAAUCAAUUGAGAAUAACAAUGACCUAAAACUUGCAAUUUUUCUUUCAAAUAAACUAAUGCAACUGGACUUGGUUGAGCUAAGAAAACAGAAAAUAAAAUAUACAAGCAACGUAGAUGUAUGCAUGCAUUUGUCCCAGGAUACGACAAGAGACACAAGAUUAGCAUCUAGUUACAAUAUAAUUCCUGUCACCUUAAGUCACCUCAUAUAUUUUAAGAGAUAAUUUCAGAAACCUCCCUUGAGGUUUCUAGUAAUUUCAGACAGCUCCCCUCACAUUUUAAAAAUUACACAUACCUCCCAUAAAAUAUAGGUUUCGAUUUCACCUUGAUGAUGUAAGACCAAAAAGUAUAUGACUGCCCAAAAUUCCCCUCAUCUAAAUUUCUUUAAUAUGAAUAAUCAUUAAAAUUUUUUAAAAGUUAAGAAUACACUUGUAUACUACCAAAAUCACCAGUUUUAUUGCUUAGCCAAUUUUUUGAUAUUUUCCAUCUUCAUGUUUUUCUACAUCAACCAAAACUUUCAAACUCUUAUCACUUCUUCUUCUUCUGAACAAAUUCUUUGUCUUAGAUGCCAAAAUCCGCCGUCGUAAUUCUUACCUUCACAAUCUUUACCUUUCUAGAGGUUUCUUCCAUUUCUUGCCUACCAAACCGUUAGUCAUAAAACUCACAAUUCUUACCUUUUCCCCACUCAAAUGGCCAAGCCCUCAAUUACCAAAAUUCUUCUAACCUCUGCUCUCAACAUUUGGAUUGGUUAUCCUAAAUCAACCCACAUUUUUUCCCUCUAAAUUGACACAAUUUUAUUGAGAACAAAUUUGAUGUCUAUUAAGAGGAACUAGACAAAACAUCAACAAUGCAAGUUUGGGGUAAUAGUUUCAGUACAGUCUAUCAAAUUAUACUUUCUGUAAUCUAGUAGCAUUUUUGUACUCAAUGACAUGAAUAAUUGGAUUGUUGGUAGUGAUGAUUGCUUCCAUCAUCAUCAACAGAAGUAGCAUAUUUGAGUGAUAGAAGGAAGGAGACAUUUAAAUUGAUUAUCAUAUUUGAGUGAUAGAAGGUUACAAUUUAAUAGUCAUGGUUCAAAUAGUUUAGCCAUAAUAUAUGGCUUGAUCAAGAAGAAUUGUUUUCCUUUUUUCUAUUAUCUUUUCCCUUUUGUAUCAAUGGCUUGUCUUUUGAAUAAUUAUGAAGGUUAUUAUAGUUAUUGUCUAUCAGCAAGAGAGGUAAGUGUAAUAUUGAAAAUCUCAAGGAAGGUCAGUGAAAUUGUCAGAAACUUUAGGGGAGGUCUAUAAAAUUAUCCCAUAAUGUAAUUGUUGUUUUCAUCCUAUUUGUCACUCACUACAAACGUGACAAAAUUAAUUGAGACUAACAAUGACCUAAAACUUACAAUUCUUCUUUCAAAAUAAACUAAUGCAACUUGACUUGGUUGAGGUAAGGAAACGGCAAAUAAAAUGUAUAAGCAAUGCAUAUGUAUACAUGCAUUUGUCCCAAGGUACGACAAUAGAAGUUAGAUUAGCAUCUAGUUACAAUAUACUUCUUGUCACUUUAAGUUCACCUCGUAUAAUACAAUUGUUGUUUUCAUCCUAUUUGUCACCUGUCUGACGAUUAUUAUAUUCUAAUAGUGAUAACAACAAUUUUUGAGCAUCAGAAAAUUUGGUGCGGUGUUGAAAGGAGGAAAAAUACAAUAUUAAUUUAGACACGACCAUAGCCUGAUAUACAAGACAUAAUCCUUGAUUAGUGUGGUAUUGACACGAGAAAGAAAAAAAAAUGUAACCCCUGAUUAGUGUGGGUUUAAUACGACUUUCAAUCAGAUUUAAAAGCAUAACCGAAGGUUGAUUAUCUUUUGUUAAUUUAUUGCUCUAAUGGUUUUUUUUUUGUGGUGCAGGUAAGAACUUAAAAGCAUAAGCCGACACAAAAUUGGUUGUUAAAUUGAUUUUAAAUUCAUGAUAUAGAAGACAAAAAUCUUUGAUUAGUGUGAUAUUGACCAGAGAAAGGAAAAAAAAUGAAAUAUGGGACGACUAACCCUUGAUUAGUCUGGAUUUGAUCAUAUAAUCAGCUGUACUAAUGCGACUUUUUCAGUUCAAAUUUAAAAGCAUAAGCUGAGAUUGGUUGUUAUUGUUUAUUGUCGUACUGGUCACUAAUGCUUUCUAGUGCAGUGCAGGUAAGAACUCAAAAGCAUAAACUGACAUAAGAUUGGUUGUUAGAAGCAUAUAGUUAGAUUAGCUAGCGGAUGCAACUAGGGCAACUGCCCCCAAGAUUUAGGAAUUCUUAAAUACCCCUAUAAAAAUUAAAAUUUUUUGUUUUUUUAAUCCUUCUACAAAUCAGACUUUGUCCCUACAAGAUUUUAGAAAUCUUUUUAUAUCCCUUUGACAUGUUCAAAAUUUUUUCCUUACCAUCCUUGAAAAUAUUAAAUUUCCCACCGGAGCUUUCUACAAAAAUAUAAGAACGCCCCCAUAAGUGUACUUAGUUACUAUUCUUGCCUCCUUUCCCAAAAUGUUAACCUCUAAUUCCAGCAAUGGUUCGAUUCAUUUCUGAUGAAUCGAGAUCAAGGACCAGCUCAAGUUACUUAUAGGGUCUAGGAAAUCAAUAAUUCAUUGACAUGGGAAAAUGUGUUAAUGAAAUUCAGAUUAAAGGAGGUAAGUCCAAUACGAAAAAUAGAAGGAGCUAAGUGAAAUUGUCAUUAAUCACACUCGAGAUAUGCACAAUUAUCAUUACUUUUUUGUCAGUUAAUCUUUCAUUUUCUUUAAUGUAAACACAAUCAACAAUUCAAGAAACUAAUUUUCAAUUUUUGUAAAGGUUGCACAGUUAACUCGCACAAUCCUUUAUGUUUCUCUAUUCCCGCUGCGCAGUAUUAAGUUUCAAUGUUUCAAAGACACUUACUUGGAGACUUAAAAUUCAAGAAAGAUACUUCAUUAGAGAUAGAAAUUAACAACAAAAUUCAACUUUGAAUUAUUGACAAAAAGGGAAAUUUUGGGACUGACAUACUUAGGCCUUGUUUGGAUUGUGAUUUUCCUCAGAAAAAUUACUACGUUUUCCGUGAACACAUUUCCCUAGUAUCUUUUUACCUCACAUAUAUCAAACCGCUACAGUAUUUUUUCUACAAAAAAUUCAGAAAAAUGCAAUCCAAACCGGGCCUUUCGCAAAACCUUUUGGAGAAAAUUUCUUGUUCCACACCCAAUUCUAUAGUGGAAAUUUUCGCCGAGUUCGGACGUCAUCGCCACCGCUCGCCUUUGGCAGUUGUGGGUAGUGCCGCAACCAUUCCGUCCAUUGUAUUCCUCCUUUUGCCACUCACCCAUAGCUGCCUUACCCUCCUCCCCGGGUUGAUCAGGGAAGUUUCAUUGUCCAUUUUCUUUUCUUUUGUUCUUUAUUUCUUACAUUAAGGACAAUGUAAGAUUUAGAUGUGCGAGGCUAUAGUAUAGUGGUACCUUUUUAUUGAACUUUUUGUUAAAAAUUUCAAAGUUCCUUUUAGUUUUGUCAUUUUUAUACAUGUUUGAUGGCCAUUUGUGAUCAACAAUGGUUAAAUGUCUCAAACGUUUUCAUUGCUAAGGUUUUAUCUGAUAAUGGGUCAAGUAUGACAUGGUUGGGUUUAAGGCUAUCGUUUUGGUGAAUAUUUGAGGUUUUGUGACUUUUGUAAUUUUUGGUUAACUUUUCUAGGCAUUGUGAAUAUUUUUCUGUCAUUUGUCAUGUAAAUUGGUUAACUAUUAAUUUUAGUUCUAAAUGUUUGGGAAAUGAAACAGGCUUGUGCGUAUUUAAUUUUUAUUUUGGUGUUUAUUUGUGAACAAUAUUUAGCUAUACUCUGCUAGUUAUUAUUACCUAGUAAUCGGAGAUUUUCACAAAUGUCGACUUUCGCAUCAAAAAGUGGCGAUAGUUAUGAUUAUGUGGUCUUUAAAUGAUGAAAGCUAAGUAACCGAUCUUCUUUAUUUCGUAGAUGUCGGAAUUCACAUUAAAAGGCUUGAAUGGCUAAGGACUAAGUACUUUUCCUAAAAAAAAUUAAGAGAAAAAAAAAACUCAAGUGUGGAGAGCAUCUUAGAAAAGAGAUAUGCUAAUAGUAAAAAAUGAAAAGUGUGUAUGAAAGUGAAAAUAUGUGGAUGGUUAUAUUAGCCUGAUUAAUAUUAAGAUUUUGGUUAAUAGUUAAACCAUUUGCUGAUGAAUACUAGUUGAAUAUUCUAUAUCCUUAGAUUAGUUAGUCAGGAAUUGAAAGAGUUCAUGGCUUUAAAAUCUCAUCGGAGAGAUAUUUUUUGAGACUUAACCACUAAUGCUUGACGUGUGUUUUAUUGUAUCUUAGUAGUGGAUGAUUUGGGCGAUAGCCGUUGUUCCCACUUAAUUGUUUAAUUGGUUGUUCUCAUGCUUGAGGUCAAGCACGGUUCAGGUGUGGAAAGAAUUGAUUGGAUGCAUUUUUGUUCAUAAAUUUAUGAUUGUUUUUUCCUCGAUUUUAGCCAACUAUUGCAUUAAUUGAUGGAUUCUACUUAUAUUUGGUUAAUGGUGCUAAUUGUAGGAAAGUGAACAAAACAUGGUUAACUGGGACAAUUUUCUAGAAAACUCUUUACCAGUUUGACAUGAGUGAGGUUGAGGUCGAGACAUGUUGUCAAGUCCCAAAGGCUCUAGAUUUCACUACGUGCGGAGGUUUCUUAGUUCGAGUUGGACUCGGAGCAAAUUUUGGUUGAAGAUUUAGGAUAUAUCUUUAUUAGUUAUAGGAUUUAGUUGGGAAACAAUUGAAAUUAUUGUUUGAAGUUUCCUUUUCCACUUAGGAGUUUACUAUUGGUAGCUAUAAAGUAGGAAAAAGAAAAGGAAUUAGUCAGCCAGUUCUCGAUUGAUUAGUACUUCCAAAGAGAAAGACUUUUGGGUCAAGACUCUUUGCUUAGAAAAGCAAGGAAAUGGCAGACUUUUGGUUCUGGAGUUUUUCUGUAGUCGCAUGUCUCUAGCAGUUCAUCAAACUUUCACGUUGGAUUUUUUUCAACGAUAAACAAUUAAAUUCUUUUUCUAGUCAACUAUGAGAUCUAAUUAUUUCAUGGUUAGAAAAGUAGUUAACGGGCGUACUUUAACUAUCGAGAAAGUAAGGAAAAGUUGGUUGUUAUCACGUGUUUAACAAAUAUAACCUGUUUAUUAACGAAUAGAUGAAAUAAUUAUUGGAUCAAUGAAUAGUUGUAUGAACCACUUCCGAAGUUAUUUUUUUGGUUAGAACUUGUAUAUUAUUGAUUUAAAUUUAAUUUAUUCUGUUCAAUUAUUUUUAUUCACGGCAAUUAUUUAUUUUAAUUUCAAUUUCUCAAACCUACAUUUAAUUCUUGUUUGGAAGAAAAUAAAUCAUCCAAUUUCUAAGAAGACGACCCUACUCAUCCCAAUACUCAAAUUUAAGUUUUUAGGGUAGGAAUUUUAAUUUUGAUGGUUUGACACCCAUCAAAUUAGCAACCAAAGAAGGAAAGAUCGAUUAAUUCAGACAUUUGAUCACAGCAUGAUAUAGAAAAAUUAUCCUUGAUUAGUGUGAUACUGACCCGAGAACCAAAAUAAUUGAAAUGACGUAACUAUAACCCCUGAUUAGUGUGGAAUUGAUUAUAUUAUAUAUAGUCAGCUCUACAAAUAAUAGUUGUUUUCAAAGGCGAAGGCGCGCUCCAAGACGGGGCGAAGCAUAAUCACUUCAAGGUAUCCAAGUGAGGCGUUUCUUCUGGUGGGCAAACGCCAGUGUCGUCAUCGACUCUGAGGCGUCGCCCAGGGCGUGAAAAACGCACGCCUCAGGGGCGUAAAAAGCUCUGGUUUGAUAGAACAGAAAUUUGAAGGAAAAAAAUCAGAUUAUAAUUUAAAGGGAAGUAGUAACUAAAAAAUAGACGACAUAAAUAGGAUCAGUGGCAGAUUUAAGGUGGGGGCACGGCCCCUCUGCCCUCCUUAAAUUCCUAUAAUAUCCCCGUAAAAUUUUGAUAUAAUUUAAAAUGUGUCCCCAGAGUUUUAAGGAAGUAAAAGAAUUACGUCGUCCUUUAAAUUAGUUCAUGAACUAAUAUUCUAAAAGGAUAUAUGGGCCGCAAAGUUUCAUUUAAAAUAAUCUAAAAAAGACUUUUCAUUUUAAUUUGUUGGUUAAUAUUUUUUUACUUAAAAAACUAGAAAAAAAAAAGCAGGUAAAAAAGUUUUAGUGAAAAAUUUUAGUGUCGCUUUUGCUCCACUGAAAAUUUUUUCUGGCUUUGAUAGAGGUAAAAGAAUGAGGAGCCCAAGCAGUAAAUAAGCAAAGAGAAACGGAAUUGCAGAGUAAGUUUGGGAGAAAAAGAGGAGAAAGUGGAUAAGAAAAGAAACGACGUAAGAAGGAAGGAAAAGGAACGAGGCGCAAGAGGGUGGGACACUCUGUGAUAUGUUUUGCUCAUAAACCCAUCCACUUUUUUUUAUUUUCAAAAUUUUCCCCAUUUUGUGCAGAACUGGCAUAUUGCUUUUUUAACUGUUCAAAACUUAUGAUUGAGUCCUAAAUUAUUUAAAAGUUUCAUAUUUUGUUCUCCAGCAACCAUUAAUCGAAGUAAAUAAUUUACCUUAUAGCAGAAAAUUAUGACUUUACAAUAUUUCUUUAUAAUAUUACAGGUAUUUUAUUCUUAUUUGUUAAAAACUCAAAAAUUUGUGGGGCUUACGCUCCGUGCCUUACGACUUAUGCCUCACCUAAGUGGAGAUAAAACGCCCACCCAACGUUUUCAUCUUUUAAAACACUGACUAAUACGACUGUGAUACAGGUAAGAACUUAAAAGCAUAAACUGACAUAAGACUGGUUGUUAGAAGCAUAUUGUUAGAUACACAAAUAUGGGCUUUCCGUGUACAAAAAAGAGAUACAUAUACAGUCCAAGAUUUCAUGCGCACAUGAAUAUCUGUUUCAAAUAAAUUCACAAACCUCAGUCCAGCUUCAGGAAAUUAAAUUUCAUUGAUUUGGGCCAAAUGUGCUAAAAAAAAUUCACAAUAAGGAUUCAGUUCAUUUUGAAAAGCAGAGAGUGUUAAGUGAAAUUGUUAUAAAUCUCACUCGAACUUUGUCCAAUCUGUCCUAAUUUAUCUUACCAUAAACUUUUGUAUCGCUUAAUCCUGUAUAGGAGAUUUUCUUUAAUGUAAAUAGAAUAAGUAAUUUGAUUUAUCGAUGUUUGUAUCGGUUACAAAAUGUUUAUUCCAAAUAUUAGCCAGUCCCAAUUUUUUUCCAUUAUUAUUCAUCUAGAUCCAAAGCAAUUGAAAUUUAAGAUGACAUAAUAAUGACUCUUGUUGAAGACAAUUAAUUAUUUUUCUUGUUUGGUUCUAUCUCUCAUUGAGGCACCAAACAAAAAAUAAUGCAACAUCUACAUAACUUAAAGGGUUAAUUACAUAUACCUCCUUUAAGAUUUGGCAUAUUUGUGAAAUUUACCAUGUAAUUUGGUCAAAUUACAGUUAUACUUCAUAAAUAGCCAAAUGUUUUUCAAGGAUCCCCCUCAUAUAAUAAUGUUCUAGAAUAUUUCAUAAAUAGCCAAAUGUUUUUCAAGUAUCCCCCUCAUAUAAUAAUGUUCUAGAUCUUCAUAACUCUUUUGUAAUUUGACCUAAUUACAUUUGCCUCUCCUGAGCCUUGUCCAAAUCACAAAAGGAAUCUCAUUCAUUGUACAAGUCAUUGUCUAAACACUUUGAAUAACCAGAAAAUUAUUAAAAAAAGCCCCUCCACAUGUGUCAAUUGAUCUUAACUAUGUAAAUGGCAGUAACAUGAACAAGAUUUUACUGAAAUUCCUUUUAAAAUUUUUUUUUUCUAGGAGGAAGGGAUGAAAUUUAAGAAGUGGAGAGGGAAACGAGGAUUUGAAUCCAAGACUUUUAAGAUUUGAGAUUUGAAAUUCCUAAAGUAUCGUGUGCAUAAUCCUUCUUUCCUACCAUAAGCUACAAUUAGUUCAACCUAAACCCAAGUCAUGACGCAUCAUCAAUUAUAACAUUUAAGUCACCAGUGGAGUUGAUUUAGCCACCAAGUGUUGCUGAAACCAUUUAAAGCCUAGUCCAUCUCUUUCUUUUUUUUUUUUUUCAAUUUACUUCAUGAUUUUAGUCUCCAAUUUGAUUCGUUGUCUUUCUUCAUUAUCUUUGGUCUCCAUUUCGAUUUGUCAUGAUCAUCAAGAAGUCAUUUUGCAAGUAUACAUUCCUAUGAUAUUACCAAUCAUGUUUAAUUACUCAAUGCAAACGUGAUAAAAUUAAUUGAGACUAACAAUGACCUAAAACUUGCAAUUUUUCUUUCAAAAUAAACUAAUGCAACUUGACUUGGUUGAGCUAAGAAAACGGGAAAUAAAAUGUACAAGCAACGCAUAUGUAUACAUGCGUUUGUCCGAGGAUACGACAAGAGACACUAGAUUAGCAUCUAGUUACAAUAUACUUGUAUGGUUUUGCAUAGGUAUCUGCUUAAACCCUUGUAUUCUUGCAUUUAUCAACAUGAUUCCACUGUAGUUUUGUACAAAGCAGUUGGACAGUUAUUUAAUUUAGUACUUAAAUGAGGACGAUAUUGGCAAUCCACCUAAUGACAUCACCCAGAUUGUUUUUUGUCAAAGUUUCACUUUAUAUGUAAAAAAGAAAAGGGAUAAUUGCAGAAACCUCCCCUGAGGUUUUUAACAUUUGCACUGACCUCCCCUGUGGUUUAAAAAAUUACACUGAUCUCCCCUGAGGUUACUAUUCCUUUACAAAUUUAGUCCAAACAAUUAAAAUAUUAUUUUAGAGAGUGAAAUUAGAAUUUUGUACCAAAUUUGCCCUUUGUAUUACAUGUCCAAUGAAUGACAAAGUACUACAAAUCAAUUAACAAUUAAUAAACUUUAAGGAGUAUAGCCUAUAGGCAAAUACGCAUUGCCUAUUUAAAGUACCGGCUCUUUACGGGUAUUUUACUUUCAAAUAUUUACGCUCAAAUACGGAUUUGCAUUUACUUUCAAAUAUUUAAUUUUUGUUAAAUACGAAACCUACUAAUCUCUUUGCCGUAAAAAUAUUAAUAUAACACAUUUUCAAUUUUAGUUACAAACAUUUAUGUAUUUAAUAUAAAUUAAAUGAUUCAGAAUAUGUAUUUUAUUUUUCUUUUAUAGUACUUUGUAUUUAACAUAAAUACGUUUAUAUUUUAAUAGUACUUAUAUAUGGAUCUUCUUAACCAUUAAAAUAUUUUAAUACAUUUAUUGUUAAUGGAAUAAAUGUAUGAGUGAAAUACAGUAUUAUUUUAAAAUAUUUUAAAUACAAUAUUAUUAAAAUAUUUAACAAUAAUUACUGUAUAUAAGUAAUGUAUAUAAGUAUUAUAAGAAUAUAUAGUAUUAUUUUAAAAUAUAUUAAGAAUAAAUGUAUGAGUUAACAAUAUAUAGUAUUUUAUACAGUAUUAUUGUAUUGAGGUAACAAUAAUACUUUCAUCCAUAAAGUAUUUUGUUUGAGGUAACAAUAAUACUUUGAACCUCAAAAAAUAUAGUAUUUUAAUAGUAUUCUUAUUGUUACCUCAAAAUAUUGUUCACUCAUUUUAAGUACUGUAUAUAUUAUAAGAACAAUAAUACUGUAUAUAAGUACUGUAUUUAAUAAUAUUUUAAAUAUGAGUGAAAUAUUUUAACAUAUGUAUAAUAAUGUAUCUUUUAAAAUAUUUUAAAAUAUUUCACUCAUACAUUUAUUGUUAAUAUACUCAUAUAUUUAAAAUAUUUUAAAAUAUUUCACUCAUUUUAAUAAUACUGUAUUUAAAUGUUAAAAUAUUUUAAUAGUACUUAAAAUAUUUUUAGUAUUUAUAUAUGGAUCUUCUUUUAUAGUACUUCUUAACCACAUUUAUAUAUUUAUAGUACUUUGUACUUUGUUAACCACAUCUUAUGUUGCAAAUGGUACAAAAUAUGGAUCUUCUUAUCAUCAAAAGAACAAUAUUUUCACUCCUCAAAAUUAUGUAUUGCUUACAAACAUUAAAUGUAUUUAACAUUUAUGUAUUUUAGUUACAAUAUUUUCCUUUAUAGCACAAAGGAAAAAUCUGGUACAAAAUUCUAAUUUCACUCCCUAAAAUAAUAUUUUAAUCGUUUGGACUAAAUUUGCAAAGGAUUAGUAACCUCAGGGCAGGUCAGUGUAAUUUUUCAAACUACAGGGGAGGUCAGUGCAAAUGUCAGAAACCUCAGGGGAGGUUUCUGCAAUUAUCCCAAAAAAACACACACACACACACAAUGGCGUCCUAAACAAUGAGGAAGCAGGUGGCGAAAGUAAGUUUCCAGCAGUCAUGGCGGUGAGAAGAGUGGAAGGUACUUUCUUUCUUUUUUAAAUUCAUUCCGGCUACAAAAAGGUACUUGACAAGGAGGAUCACUAAUUGUAGGCAUGGGGACGAUGAGGUCUUUGUGGAUUUAGCGACUGCGCGAUUGUGCGUGGUGGUCGAAAGAGGUGAAGGGCUUUCUGAUUAUUCAAUAGUGAUAUUAUAUAUAUGUAUGUAUGUAUGUGUGUGUAUAUAACAAAUUUUGACUAGGAAAACUUAUGAACUAGAUUUCGAUUUCUCAUAAAAAAAAAUGUAGAGUUAUGUGUUAACUUCAAAAUGGAUCAAGAACCACCUCAAUCCGAUGCUUGUAGCUCAAAAUAUAGUUAAAAUAUCAAAAGGUGUCAAAGCUGCCUAACUUUUCCUCUUUAGAACUUGAUUUCAUUUCAUCUUUGCACUUCGUAUUCUCUUUAAAACCAUUUCAAAUAAUAAAAAAUCAUCCAAUUAUCUUCUCAACUCAAUCCAUUUGAUGAUUGAAUCAUUAAACCUACAAAAACAUGAAGUUUUCACUAUUAAAAUCCAUAGAAAUGCAAUUUUUGAUAUUUAAACCACAAAAUGCAAAUCUCACUGGAAACUUAGUUAAUUAGCUAUAAAAGUGAAUGAAACAUACUAAAACUAAAUAACAAAACACACUUAAAAUACAGAAAAUAUACACUUAUCAAUUAUGCUAACUAGAGAAGAAAAAUCGAGUAUACUUGGUACAAGCAUAAGCUUCAUAUAUGAUGCUUUAUUUUUUAUUUCGUUUCCCUUACGUUUCUUGAUAUAACGGAAUAAUGAAUGUUGGCUUUUGAUGCAUGGAAACAAAAAGCGAUUUUUGGAAUUUUAAUGCAUUUUUCCUUGCAACUUGUACACAUGCAUCAUAUAGGCAUUAUACAACACAACAAUAUUUGUCCAAAUUCAACUAAUAGAUAUGCCUAAUAAUUUUAAGGGAUAAUUGCAGAAACCUCCCCUGAGGUUUCUGACAUUUGCACUGACCUCCCCUGUGGUUUGAAAAAUUACACUGACCUCCCCUGAGGUUACUAAUCUUUUGCAAAUUUAGUCCAAACAAUUAAAAUAUUAUUUUAGGGAGUGAAAUUAGAAUUUUGUACCAGAUUUGCCCUUUGUGCUACAUAUCCAAUGAAUGACAAAGUACUAUAAAUCAAUUAACAAUUAAUAAAUUUUAAGGAGUAUAAUUUAUGGGCAAACACGCAUUACUCAUUUAAAGUACCAACUCUUUACGAUUAUUUUACUUUCAAAUAUUUAAUUUAUGAUAAAUAUAUCAAUAUUUGUAAGUAAAAUUCAAAAAUUGUUAUAGUAAUAUUCUUACAAAAAGGAAAUCGAUAGGUUAUUUAUUUAAUAUAAAUUAAAUAUAUUUUUUUAAAAAAAUAAAUGGCCCAUAAAGUAUUAAUUUUUUAUGGUUUUCAUCCAUUACAUGAGUAAAGUAUUCGCUUUUUAUGUGCAUUUUAUUCUGAAUCAUUUAAUUUAUAUUAAAUACAUAAAUGUUUGUAACUAAAAUUGAAAAAGUGUUAUAUUAAUAUUUUUAUGGAAGAGAGAUUGGUAGGUUUUGUAUUUAACAAAAAUUAAAUAUUUGAAAGUAAAUACAAAUCUAUAUUUGAGCAUAAAUAUUUGUAUUAAAUUAAAUGUUUGAAAGUAAAAUACCCUUAAAGAACCGGUAUUUUAAAUAAUUACCGACUCUUUAUAGGCAAACACGCAUUACUCAUUUAAAGUACCGGCUUUUUACGGAUAUUUUACUUUCAAACAUUUAAUUUAUGAUAAAUAUAUCAAUGUUUGUUAGUAAAAUUCAAAAAGUGUUACAGUAAUAUUCUUGCAAAAAGGAAAUCGGUAGAUUAUUUAUUUAAUAUAAAUUAAAUAUUUUUUUUAAAAAAAAUGACCCAUAAAGUAUUAAUUCUUUAUAGCUUUCAUCCAUUACAUGAGUAAAGUAUUGACUUUUUAUGGGUAUUUUAUUCUGAAUCAUUUAAUUUAUGUUAAAUACAUAAAUGUUUGUAACUAAAAUUAAAAAAGCGUUAUAUUAAUAUUUUUACGGAAGAGAGAUUGGUAGUUUUUGUAUUUAACAAAAAUUAAAUAUUUGAAAGUAAAUACAAAUAUGUAUUUGAGCGUAAAUAUUUGUAUUAAAUUAAAUGUUUGAAAGUAAAAUACCCAUAAAGAGCCGGUACUUUAAAUAGGUAAUGCAUAUUUGCCUAUAAACUAUACUCCUUAAAAUUUAUUAAUUGUUAAUUGAUUUGUAGUAUUUUGUCAUUCAUUGGACAUGUAGUACAAAGGACAAAUUUGGUAAAAAAUUCUAAUUUCACUCCCUAAAACAAUAUUUUAAUCGUUUGGACUGAAUUUGCAAAGGAUUAGUAAUCUCAGGGGAGGUCAGUGUAAUUUUUCAAACCACAGGGGAGGUCAGUGCAAAUGUCAGAAACCUCAGGGGUGGUUUCUGCAAUUAUCCCUAAUUUUAAAAUGAAGAGCAUGGCCCCUGUCCAACAAACUAGAGACUAUAAGAAAUUGUUUGUCACAAUGGAUGAUUACUUCUUGAAAGAAACGACAAUGACAUAAAAUAGCAUUUACACACCCUAUCUAAUGAACAAUGUUUUCAUAAAUUAAAUAAAUGAAGAGCAUGGCCCCUGUCCAAUAAACAAUGUUUAAAAAAUUAAAUAGCAAUUACGCACCCCUGUCAGUUUUGAAUAUAUGAAUGGUCAUUUCACACCUAAAAUCUAUCUGUGCAUUGGAAGUGCCUAUUAGAAAGCAUGAAAGACUGCUUUAAAAUCAUGUUAAAUUUCAUUGAUAAGCAUAUUCGUUCCAAGUUAUUUGGUUUAUAUGGUAACAGAGUUAAAUCACAAACUGCAUUAUUUUGUUGUUGUCUUUCUUUUUUCUUUUUUCUUUUUUUAGCUUUGUGGCUGAAUCAGAACUACUAAGUUUUUUUUUUUGGUCCAUCAACUAUAGGUUUAUGUGAAAGAGAAGUAUAAAAAUUAAACUUGCCAUUCUACUUGUUUAAACUUGUGGGUUAAUAACAAAAUCAUUCUUGCUUUAAAUUCACUUCCAAGUGCAAAAUUCUAGGUCCAUUACUGAUAACUUAUGGUUUACCUGCUUAAUUUGGUACGUUUAAACACGAUCGAUCGUCCUUGUAAUCAUUGUUGUUUUCAUCAUAUCGUACAUACCAUUUGUAAUCUCUUUCUGUACCCAAUGAUUACCACCUAUAUAUAUAUAUAUAUAUAUAUAUAUAUAGCAUGAUUAGCGGUUUUGUACUGAACUAUACUACAGUGUAGACAACUAGCUUUAAGGCAUUUAAAUAUACUAUUUUCGACAUGAUUGUAGCAUGAGAUAGACAACAAACUAAAGAAGAUUAUCAUACUUUGAAAGAAGCAAACCUCAUGGAUUUGAUUAUAAAAUCUGCCAUAAUAAUUCUAACCUCAGUUACAACUUGACAAAAAAAUAAAUAAGCUGAGAUAAGACUGGUUGUUUUGUUCACUGGUGCUUUCUGGUGCAGGCAAGAAUUGAAAGCAUAACAUGAGCUAAGAUUGGUGUUUUUUUUUUCUCCUUUGAGAAAAAUAACAUUGGUUGUUUGUUGCUAUUUACUGAUGUAAUUUUGCAGUGCAUGUCAGAUUUAGAUUUAUUGCAGCAAGACAUAUAAAUCAAAUAUGGAAAUCAUUUGUGUUCAAUAGAAUUAUCUGCACAUGACUAUUUGUUCUACACAAUAAUUUGUCUAAUGACUUUUACAAAUCCUGAUCCCACCAGACCCUCAAUUUGAUGCUCUAGAAAGACAAAAACUAAAAGUUUUUCAUGACAAAGAUCUACUGAUAGGCUGCAAUUUAUCUAUUUAUUUUAUUAUUAUUUUCCCCUAUUACCUGACUUGAUGUGGAUUAAUUGCUGGAUUCUACUCAUUUUUCUUAAUUUACGUAUACUUCAGGGAGUAGAACGAAAAUAUGAUAACAGAUGCCAAAUUGACAGGAAAAGAUUUCAGAUGAUAAAGCUUGUCCCAGGGGCACUUUUGGAAGAGGAGAUGUCACGCCCAUUUUGGUAAAUUUCGGAAAGGAAUGACGGACGGAGGGCUUCUCUUCCUGCUGUGAGCCGCCGCAAUUAAAAGAGGAAAAGGAGGAUCAGAUGCGGGGCUGGCUUUUGCUGAGUUUUUCGUCCUGUAGCUAGUUUCAAUUUUUGACUUGGCUUAGCCGGGAAUAGCCAUUCUCACGUAUGUGAGGAAAAAGUAGGAUCAGCCUUGACUUUUCCCUUUGUAGCUUUUAGGUGUUUUCUUUUUCUUCUUCCGUCGGAUGAGCCGACAAGCAAGGACAGUCCAUUGUACUCUGCAACUUUACUGUGCUUUAUUGUUUUGACCGGAUUGAAGUUGGGCAUUUCCUGAAUUGAUGGCCGCAGCUCUCUUUACAAUUUCUGGUGGGUUUAGCUCAUCAAGUAUGAACUAACUUUUCCCUUCUAGUCAAGGAGCAAUGGAGGCUCUGGUUCGCCUGAAAUUAUGAGAUCGUUUUAAUUUAAUCUUUUCCUUUUAUUUAUUGGUAUCCGCACAUUUCGUGAUUGUUAUGCUUAUGGUUAUUUAAUUAAUUGAUUGUCUUGGAUCCAGAUAAUUAGUUGAUUGGGUAAUCUAUUGUCAAUUAGGGCAUUAAAUCCGUAAUUGUUUAAUUACUCUAAAAUAGUGACAACUGGCAUGAUUAGAUUUGUGUCAGGGGAAUACGCGGGCUAAUCUAAAAUAACCCUGGUAGUGUGUUGUUUGGUUAGAAUAGGGCUCCUCUAAUACGUAAGGCAAUUGGGGAAUUAAAUUCUAUGGGCGUACCUAGGAUUAUUUCUCAAUUAGAGCAGUGAUUAACGGGCGUACCUUGAUCACCGACACAGUAAGGAGGGGUUGACUGUCAUCGCUUGUUUGGUAGUUAUAACCUAUUUAUUGAUGAAUAAUUGGAAUUGCCUUUGCUUAUCGAUGAUCAAUUAGGUGAACCAUUGCUGAAGUUAUUCCUUGGCUAGAUCCUUAAUUAUCAUUCAUUUGAUUUUAGUAAUUUGUUAUUUAAUUUUUAGUAGUUUCUUAGAUUUUAUUUGAACUUCUUUUACUGUCACCUUCUGCAUAAAAACACCCCCUUGUCACUGUGAAUUUGAAAAGGAACAAUUACUCCCAGUGCCUGUGGAUUCGACCCUGCUCACCGCUAUCUACUGAAAUUAAUUUUAGUUUGAGCAGGUAUUAUUAUUAUUGCACAGGCUGACGACCUGUCAUCUACUGCCAAUAUAUGCUUCAUAGUUGUCUCUUUGUUCUUUAUAGGUAAUAUGCUUCAUAGUUAUUCAUAGUUAUUCAUCUGUUCACAUCCAAUAAAUUCAAUUUUAACAGACUUAAUUAUACCUCUGGUUGUAGACCUUAUUAGCCCAUUUUUUCAUUUUUUUAAAGAUGAUUGUAGACCUUAUUAGCCCAUUUUUUCAUUUAUUUGGAUUGAAAAUCUCAGCAAACUUUGAAAUUUGGUGUAAACGUAACACAGUUAUUAAAGGAGUGGAAGAAUGGAAAAAAAUUAAAUAAAUAAAAAAUCCUAUUGCAGUGAUAGACUCGUUCAAUUAUAGGGAACUGUGUUUACUUAAUACAAACGUGACUAAUGGACAAUGGAUUAGCAUUGGAGACUUCACAAAACAGGCAAAGUUGUAUAAGUGACAAAUGCAGAAAGCAAGUUUAUCUAAUGUGUUACCUUUAAAAAAAAAAAUUUGUCUAUUAUGUUGAAAUACAAAACUGAAAAUAGCACAGCAAAACUUGUCCAAUUUCACCUUAUAUAGACGAUCGUAAGCGUUUUAAAAAUGAAAAUGUUGCCCCAGCUAGCUAAAACAAAUUGGAGACAAUGAGAAUCAGAAUAAAAUGUUAAUUCUAGUUCCCAAAAUUUAGCUUAACUCUUAUGGACAGUAACCAAGUAAUCAUGAGAUUCUUGAUUUAACCCCUACCAUUUCCUGUUUCCCUCUUGUAAGGUUUGAAAUCUUCCCUUGAACCAUUUGUCAAUUUUUGAAAGAAACAGCAGUAAAAUAAAAGAGUAUUCAUGUUCACAUUGGGAUUAUUUAAUACUCCAUUCUUAUCCAAUAACAAAACUAGUCAUAUAUUUGUUUUACUUCUCAAAAAAUUUAAGGGCAAAUUUCACUUUACCCCCUGUGGUUUAGUAUUUUUUUACAUAACCCCCAUAUAGUUUUAAAAAUUAUACAUAACCCCGUCAUGGUUUGGAUUAAAUGUCAAAGUGACAGAAAUGAACAUUCGUAACGGAGUCAUUUAAAAUAUAAAAAAUACCCUUAUGUAAAGUUGAAAAUUAUUUAAUUAUUAACCAAGGGGGGUUAUGUGAUAUUUUGAAAACCAUAAGAGGGUUAUAUGGUAAAGUAUUAAACCAUAAGGGGGUUAUAUGGUAAAACAUAAAAAUCAUACAGAGUUAGUGUGCCAUGUAUUUAUAAGGAUAAUUUCGAUAUUUUUAAAAGUUCCAUAACGAAUGACUAUUUCCGUCACUUUGGCACUUUAAUCCUAACCAUGAGGGGAUUAUGUAUAGUUUUUGAAACUAUAGAGGGGGUUAUGCACAAAAAUACUAAACUAUAGGGGAUAAAGUAUAAUUUACCCAAAAUUUAAUGAGGGCAAAGCUAAAAUUUUAUCAGAAUUGUAUGAAUGAUAACAAAGCUUUCAUGGAGCAGCCCCACAUUAAAUCUGCCACUGCUAUCAGUGUCACUUUCAUUCUAUUGUCACCUGCCUGACGAUUAUUGUACUCUACAACAUGGCUGAGAGCAAGAUUUGAGCAUUAAAAUUUAGCAACCAGAGGAGGAAAGAUAGAUUAAUUUGAACAUUUGACCACAGCAUGAUAUAGACAAAUUAUUCUUGAUUAAUUUAGGAGGAAAGAUCGAUUAAUUUAGACAUUUGAUGAAGCAUGAUGUAGACAGAUUAUCAUUGAUUAAUGUGAUACUGACCCGAGAACCAAAAAAAUUGAAAUAAUGUGACUAUAACCCCUGAUUAGUGUGGACUUGAUUAUGUAGUCAGCUCUAUGUACAGGUAAGAACUUCAAAGCAUAAACUGACACAAGACUGGUUGUUAGAAGCAUGUUGUUAGAUACACAAAUAUGGACUUUCCGUGUACAAAUAAGAGAUACAUUUACAGUCCAAGAUUUCAUGCGCACAUGAAAUAUUUGUUUCAAAUAGAUUCACAAACCUCAGUCAAGGUUGAGGAAAUUAAUAUUUCAUUGAUUUGGGACAAAUGUGCUAAUAAAAUUCAUAAUAAGGGAUUAAGUUCAUUUUGAAAAAUAGAGGGUGCUAAGUGAAAUUGUCAUAAGUCUCACUCGAACUUUGUACAAUCUAUCCCAAUUUAAGAUUUGGCAGAGUUGCAAAACUUACCAUGUAGUUUGGCCACAUUACAGUUACAUAAAUAGCCAAAUAUUUUUCAAGUAUCCCUCUCAUAUAAUAACGUUCUAGAUCUCCAUAACUCUUUUAUAAUUUGACCUAAUUACAUUUGCCUCUCUUGACGCUUGCCCAAAUCACAAAAGGAAUUGCACAAGUCAUUGUCUAAACACAUUGAAUAACCAGAUAAUUAUUAAAAAAAAAAAACUCCACAUGUCACUUGAUCUUAACUAUGUAAAUGACAGCAACAUGAAUAAGAUUUUACUAAAAUUACUUUUUUUAAAAAAAAAAUUUUCAUAGUAGGAAGGGAUGAAAUUUAAGAACUUUUAAGUUUUGAGAUUUGAAAUUCCUAAAGUAUCGUGUGCAUAAUCCUUUUUUCCUAUCAUAAGCUACACUUAGUGCAACCAAAACCCAAGUCAUGAGGCAUCAUCAAUUAUAACAUUGAAGUCACCAAAGGAGUUGAUUUAGCCACCAAGUUUUGCUGAAACCAUUUAAAGCCAAUUAGUGCGUAUCUCUUCUUUUUUCUUUUUUUUUUUCUCUCUAAUUUACUUCAUGAGUUUAGGUCUCCAACUCGAUUCAUUAUCUUUGGUCUCCAUUUUCAUUUAUCAUGAAGUCCUUUUGCAAGUAUACAUUCCUAUGAUAUUACCAAUCAUGUUUAAUUAAUUACCCACUACAAACGUGACAAAGUUAAUUGAGACUAACAAUGACCUAAAACUUACAAUUUUUCUUUCAAAAUAAACUAAUGCAACUUGACUUGGUUGAGCUAAGAAAACGGAAAAUAAAAUGUGCAAGCAACGCAUGUGUGUACAUGCAUUUGUCCCAGGAUAUGACAAGAGACACUAGAUUAGUAUCUAGUUACAAUAUACUUCUUGUCACUUUAAGUUCACCUACUGCAAAUGUGAAAAAUCAAUUGAGAAUAACAAUGACCUAAAACUUGCAAAAUUUUCUUUCAAAAUAAACUAAUGCAACUAGACUUGGCUGAGCUAAGAAAACAGAAAAUAAAAUAUACAAACAAGGCAGACGUAUACAUGGAUUGGUCCCCAGGAUAUGACAAGAGAUAGUAGAAUAACAUCUAGUUACAAUAUAUUUCUUGACACUUUAACUCACCUCAUAUAAUGUAAUUGUUGUUUUCAUCCUGUUUGUCACCUCUGUGACGAUUAUUAUACUCUAACAGUGAUAACAACAAGAUUUGAGCAUCAGAAAAUUUAGAAACCGGAGGAGGAAAGAUACAAUAUUAAUUUUAGACACGACCAUAACUUGAUAUACAAGAUAUAAUCCUUGAUUAGUGUGGAUUUAAUUAUAUAAUAACCUCUACAAAAAGUGUUACAAAAAAUAUCAAUAUUCUUACUUUCAAACAUUUAAUUUAUGGCUCUAUGCCCCUCCCUUUUUAUAAGAAUAUUACUGUAACACUUUUUGAAUUUUACUUACAAACAUUGAUGUUUUUAUCAUAAAUUAAAUGUUUGAAAGUAAAAUACCCAUAAAGAGCCGAUACUUUAAAUAGGUAAUGCGUACUGUAUAUAGUUUAACAUGCAAAUAGUCUGUUAAUUAGUUAGUUAGUUAAUUAAUUGAUUAGUUAAGUAGUUAAUUAGUUAAUUAGUUUAACAUGCAUAUAGUUUGUUAGUUUCGGACAGACAACAGCUUUACUUAAUUAGUUAAUUAGUUAAGUAGUUAAUUAGAUAAAUAGAAAUUAGUUGAUUAGUUAAUUAAUUAAUUAGUUAAUUAGUUAAUUAGUUAAUAAUUAAUCAGAUAAAUAGUUAAUAGUUAAUUAGUUUAACUAUUAACUAAUUAGAUAAUUAGUUAAGCAAUUGUCAAGCAAAUAAUAAUUGUCAAGCAAGAAGAGGGCAAAAUUGGAAGAAAUUUCUUAUCUCACUUCUACAAAAGCUGUCAGGGAGGUUUCUGCAACGAAUUGUUACUGUUCAGGGGAGGUGAAUGCAAUUUCAAAACCUAGAGGGGAGGUCAGUGCAAAUGUCAGAAAUCUCAGGGGAGGUUUCUGCAAUUAUCCCUUUAAUUAUAUAAUAACCAGUACUAAUACGACUUUCAAUCAGAUUUAAAAGCAUAAGCGAAGGUUGAUUAUCUUUUGUUAACUUAUUGCUCUAAUGGGGUUCUUUGUGGUGCAGGUAAGAACUUAAAAGCAUAAGCCGACACAAAAUUGGUUGUUAAAUUGAUUUUAAAUUCAUGAUACAGAGGACAAAAAAUCCUUGAUUAGUAUGAUAUCGACCAGAGAAAGGAAAAAAAAUGAAAUUGUGGGACGACUAACCCUUGAUUAGUCUGGAUUUGAUCAUAUAAUCAGCUGUACUAAUGCGACUUUUUCAGUUCAAAUGUAAAAGCAUAAGCUGAGAUUGGUUGUUAGUGUUUGUUGUCGUACUGGCCACUAAUGCUUUCUGGUAAGAACUCAAAUGCAUAAACUGACAUAAGAUUGGUUGUUAGAAGCAUAUAGUUACACUAGCUAGCGUAUGCAACUACGGCAACUGCCCCCAAGAUUUAGGAAUUCUUAAAUACCCAUAUAAAAAUUAAAAUUUUUGUUUUUUUUAAUCCUUCUACAAAUGAGACUUUGUCCCUACAAGAUUUUAGAAAUCUUUUUAUAUCCCUUUGACAUGUUCAAAUUUUUUUCCUUACUAUCCUUGAAAAUAUUAAAUUUCGCACCAGAGCUUUCUACAAAAGUAUAAGAAUGCCCCCAUAAGUGUAUUUAUUUACUACUCUUGCCUCCUUUCCCAAAAUGUUAACCUCUAAUUCCAGCAAUGGUUCGAUUCAUUUCUGUUGGAUCGAGAUCAAGGACCUGCUCAAGUUACUUAACACGGGUUCUCCAUGGACAGAUAUUAACUUUCUGUUUUUGUGUUCAAAUAGAAGAGCAGUUUAUGGUCCACAAUUUCAAGCAUACAUGAAUUUUUUACGAAUAAAUUCACAAACCUUCACUAGGGUCUAGGAAGUCAAUAAUCUUUCAUUAAUUAAGUGAAAUUGUCAAUAACCUUUACUAGGGUCUAGGAAGAGCUAAGUGAAAUUGUCAUUAAUUACACUCGAGGUAUGUACAAUUCCCUAUUCAUCUUAUCAUUACUUUAUUGACGUUUAAUCUUUCAUUUUUUUAAUGUAAACAUAAUCAACAAUUCAGGAAACCAAUUUUCAAUUUUUGCAAAGGUUGCACAGUUAACUCUUAUAGCCCUCUAUAUUUCACAAAUCCCUCAAAUUGAAGCUACUGCAAAUAUGAUUCAUAAUUAUUCAUCUGGUUACUUCAAAUUGAAAUUUAAGAUGAUAUGGUAAUGCCCUUUUGGUUUAAGACAACUAACUUUCCUUUUUGGUUUCAGUUAAUCUCUUGCCGAAUCACCCAAAAAAAAAGGAAAAAGAAAUGUAGCACCAACUUUGUUUAGAUCUUAAUCAUGAGUCAUGAUCAAUAAUUAUGUUUCAGUCGCCAUUCACCAAAGAAGUAGUUUGGGCACCACUACCAUUGGCGUAUUUUUUUUUUUUUUUAUCAGCAACGAUACAUUUGUAUAACAUACUCUAUCCUAAAUUAGGGGAGAAGGAAUCUAAGGAGGCUGUGGUAGGGGCUAGUGGAUAUACAGACCCAACUAAACCAACGGAGUGUCAUGGCACAACUUUUAGAAUUUUUUUCCGCUGCAGGUGAGGUUUGAACCCUCACCUACAACCCAAAGAAGGACCUAAGUUCUUCCCUAGUGGCCACUGAGCCAUUGGCCGAGUGGUUCACUACCAUUGGCAUACUUGACAUGGAGAUAAUUAAAUUUCAUUUUUCGGACACAACAAAGUUUUAACUUUAAAAUUAUGAAAGCCAUGGAUCAAUACAGAAGUUUCUCUAUUCCCACUGCUCAGUGUUAAGUUUCAAUGUUUCAAAGACACUUAUUUGGAGAUCAGAAGUUAAAAUUCAACAAAGAUACUUCGUCACAGAUAGAAAUUAACAAAAUAUUCAACUUUGAAUUAUUGAUAAAAAAAAGGAAAAUUUGAAAUUGACAUACUAAGUUUCACAAAAAUGUUUUGGAGGAAAUUUCUUAUUCCACAAAUGUCAUGGAUGAUUUCUAAAUAUUUGGGAAAAGUGAGUUCGGACUUGGGAGAGUAUAAUAGCAGGUGAGGUGAGCCAUGGGCAAGGAAAAAGAAGAGAGAAAGAGAGGUUAUCUUGAAUUCUUUUUCCCUUUCAUUUUCAAAAUUGUGGUGAUUUCUUUCAAGUUUAGUGUAAAUUUUUGAAACCUUUGUUAUUGAUAUUUGGCUAUUGAAAAGGAUAGCUACAUUAUUUCUAAUUAAGCAACAUGGUCCCUUUCCAUGAUUUGGACAAACCUCAAGGGCAUAUUUGUGAUUUUAAUUCUUUUAGCCGGGAUUGUGAAUUUUAGGGACUGAUCCUCAAGUUGCACAAACUUUGCUGAAAAAUAAAUGUAAUUAACCCUAAUCUAAAAGCGAUGAAUCUUAUCUACAAACUGUGAAUGAAGAUGAUGCAAAUCUAAAGCGGGGAUAAAAGAAACUUAAGCCUCUGUUUAUCUACAAAGUAAUGGAGACAGUAAUAGUAUCUGAGACUUGGAAAUUCCUCAAGUUUGUAGAAUUCUAGCACAAAUAACUUUUUUUUUAAAAAAAAAUAGAGGAUCAAUAGUAAUUCCUUAUUUACUCUUGUGAUAAUUUGAACUCGUACCUCUAUAGUAGUGGUUCGAGUCAGUGAUUUUUUUGUUUCAAAUAAAGCAUUUUACCAACUAGAUCAUAUUUCAUUGUGUCUAAUACAAUUAAGUUUUAGUUAUUAGUAGGUAUGAAGAGUAUAAUAAUGAGUUUACAGAUUACGCUUAAACUUUAUAUGUAAAUGACAGUAACAUGAACAAGAUUUUACUAAAAUUACUUUUCAAUUUUUUUUUCUAGUAGGAAGGGAUGGAGGGAAAGAAGGAUUUGAAUACAGAACUUCUAAGUUUGAGAUGUGCAUAAUCCUUUUUUCCUACCAUAAGCUACAAUUAGUGCAACCAAAACCCAAGUCAUGAGGCAUCAUCAAUUAUAACAUUGAAGUCACCAAAGGAGUUGAUUUAGCCACCAAGUUUUGCUGAAACCAUUUAAAGCCAAUUAGUGCGUAUCUCUUCUUUUUCUUUUUCUUUUCUCUAAUUUACUUCAUGAGUUUAGGUCUCCAACUCGAUUCAUUAUCUUUGGUCUCCAUUUUCACUUAUCAUGAUCGUCAAGAAGUCCUUUUGCAAGUAUACAUUCCUAUGAUAUUACCAAUCAUGUUUAAUUAAUUACCCACUACAAACGUGACAAAGUUAAUUGAGACUAACAAUGACCUAAAACUUACAAUUUUUCUUUCAAAAUAAACUAAUGCAACUUGACUUGGUUGAGCUAAGAAAACAGAAAAUAAAAUAUACAAACAAGGCAGACGUAUACAUGCAUUGGUCCCCAGGAUAUGACAAGAGAUAGUAGAAUAACAUCUAGUUACAAUAUAUUUCUUGACCUCUGUGACGAUUAUUAUACUCUAACAGUGAUAACAACAAGAUUUGAGCAUCAGAAAAUUUAGAAACCGGAGGAGGAAAGAUACAAUAUUAAUUUUAGACACGAUCAUAGCUUGAUAUACAAGAUAUAAUCCUUGAUUGGUGUGGAUUUAAUUAUAUAAUAACCUGUACUAAUACGACUUUCAAUCAGAUUUAAAAGCACAAGCGAAGGUUGAUUAUCUUUUGUUAAUUUAUUGCUCUAAUGGGGUUCUUUGUGGUGCAGGUAAGAGCUUAAAAGCAUAAGCCGACACAAAAUUGGUUGUUAGUAGCAUACUGUUAAAUUGAUUUUACAUUCAUGAUAUAGAAGACAAAAAAUCCUUGAUUAGUGUGAUAUUGACCAGAGAGAGAAAAAAAAAUGAAAUUGUGGGACGACUAACCCUUAUCAAUAAGCUGAGAUUGGUUGUUAGUGUUUAUUGUCACUAAUGUUUUCUGGUGCAAUAAACUCAAAAGCAUAAACUGACAUAAGAUUGGUUGUUAGAAGCAUAUUGUUAGAUUAGCUAGCGGAUGCAAUUACUAGGGCAACUGCCUCCAAGAUUUAGGAAUUUUAGGGACUGAUCCUCAAGUUGGACAAACUUUGCUGAAAAAUAAAUGUAAUUAAUCCUAAUCUAAAAGUGAUGAAUCUUAUCUACAAACUGUGAAUGAAGAUGAUGCAAAUCUAAAGCGGGGGUAAAAGAAACUUAAGCCUCUGUUUAUACAAUAAUAGUAAUGGAGACAGUAAUAGUAUCUGAGACUCGCUCUCUCAAGGUUGUACAAAUAACUUUUUUUUUUUAAGAAAAAAUAGAGGAUCAAUAGUAACUUAUCACUUACUCUUGUGAUGAUUUGAACUCGUACCUCUAUAGUAGCGGCUUGAACCGGUGACUUUUUGGUUUCAAAUAAAGUGUUUUAUCAACCAGAUCAUCUUUCAUUGUGUCUAAUACAAUGAAGUUUUAGUUAUUAGUAGGUAUGAAGAGUACAACUAUGAGUUUACCGAUUAGGCUUAAGCUUUAUAUCGUAGAAUGUACAGCACCAGAACAUUGGUCCUGUUCAAUUUCAGCUACUUAGGACAGUGGCCCCUAAACAAAUAAAUUAGAAUGGAUAAAGCAAAUUGCUUUGUCACAAUGGACGGUUGCUUCUUGUAAUAAACAAUAAUAGAACGGAAAGGCAGACCUUUUGUAUCUGUUCAAUUAAAAAAUGAGCAGGACUCAUCUUGAUAAUCACUUAUAAAUACACAGCCCUUGCAACUUCAUCAGUCACUCAGCAAAAACUUUUCUUCCUCACUUCAAAACUUGCCAAAAAAAAAAAAAGCAUUUCUGCCUCUGAAAGGAUGGCUGAGAAUCUGCUUAUGAGUGCCUCAGUGGAGGUUUUACUGCAGAAAAUAAUCUCAGUCACUACUGAAAACAUUAACCUUGUUUUUGGUGGUCCUCAAGAAAUCUCAUGCCUAAUGGAGAACUGGUUUUCCCACUCCAGUGAAGAGACUAAUGUUGUGCAGGCCAUCAGACAAGAGUUGGAGGAAUUGAAAGGAUCUUUAUCCAACAUCCAAGCUGUCUCACAGGAUAAUCUGAGGCUGCAGGACAAGGCUGUGAUCGUUACCCUUUGGCUGCAGAAACUUUCUGAUUUAGCCGAUGAUGCUGAUAAUGCUUUGGCAGAGUUCGGCUAUCAAAUUCUCCAGCAUGAGGUGGAGAUGCUGAACCAAGAAAAACCAAAGGUAAGUCUCUUCUCCUGUCACUCUGAUAAGAAGGCCUUUCGCCAAGAAAUGAUGCCUAAAGCAAGAGGCAUCAGUAAUAAGCUGGAGAUGAUCAAUAAAGAAGUGAAAGACUUUUUAGCUUCUGAGAAAUAUGGUGUCACAACUGCUUCUUCCCCUCAGGUAGAUGUAGUUCAGGAGGUUGGCUUCUUGAUUGCUGACCUGAAAAUCACAGAAAAUGAGGAAAAGACAUCUAUAGAAAAUUUCUGGUCCAUAAUAAAAGAAAAGGCAGGUGUAAGUGAUGAAAUACCAAUAGGCCUGAAGGACAUAGGAAGGCACAUUGCAGAAAAGUGUCAAGGUCUGUCUUUAGCAGCAAAUUUACUUGGAGGUUUGUUACAAAACAAAAGAAGGGAUUUCUGGUUGUCAAUUUUAGAAAGCGGGGUAUUAGAUAAAGAAGAUGUAAUCUCUGCGAUACUCAAAUUGUGCUUUGAAAAUCUGCCAUCUCCAUUCCUCAAAAGAUGUUUUGCAUUUUGUUCGAUGUUUCCAAGGAACUCUGUUAUAGAAAGGGACCAGCUAGUCCAGCUUUGGAUGGCUGAAGGAUUUAUUGACCCAGGGUUGGGGAUUUCUGUGAUGGAAGAAAUAGGAAAUCAAUACUUUGACACUUUGUUGCAGAAUUCUUUACUUGAAAUUGUAAGCAAGGAUAACUUCAACAAAGUAACACAUUGUAAACUGCAUAAUCUUGUCUAUGAUUUUGCAUAUUCUCUAUCAAGCUUCGAGAGCAUCACCAUCGGCGAAAGAGAUCAAGAUGACAUUCGUCAGAUUCAACACCUUGCAUUGGAGUCGUUUACAGAGGAAACCAUGAAGAUUGCCAAGGAGAAAGCAAGAUAUUUGAGGACAUUAUUCCUAAAGAAAAAUUUACCUGACAAUAACUUGCUAAAUCUAAACUUCUUGUAUGUUUUAAACCUCUGUGAUGCAGAUAUAGCAGAAUUGCCAGUAUAUGUUGGAAAUCUAAGGCAUUUAGAAUACCUUGAUCUCUCGAGGACAGAGAUAAAGUCUAUACCCGACUCUGCCUGCAACCUUUACAAGUUGAAGACAUUGAGGAUCAUUGGAUGUAAUUCUCUUGAAGAACUCCCAAAAGAUUUCAAGAAUUUGCUAUGCCUGAGACAUCUUCACUUCUAUUAUAAUGAGUACUUCUCUAUGCCAUAUGAGUUUGGGCGAUUAAGUCACCUUCAAACACUGCCAAUCUAUAACGUGGGAAAGAAGUGUGGUCCUCCAAUUGGGGAGCUGAAGCACUUGAAAGAUCUCAAAGGCAAGCUGGAGAUACGAAAUCUUGAUCUUGUGAAAGACAAAAAGGAAGCUCAGCUAGCAAAUCUAUUUGAGAAACCGAAUUUGCAGGAGCUGGAGCUUCGUUGGAUUGAUCCUGAAAAAGAAGAAAGAGAAGAUCCAAACAACGAUGAGAAUGUGCUGGAAGGCCUUGAGCCUUACCACAAUCUGAAAAGCUUAAGGAUCGAACACUUCAAAGGUGACAGAUUCCCAUCAUGGGUAAUGAAGAUGUCUGUUAAAAGAGGCUCUUUGCAACUUAACAAUUUGGUGGAGGUAAAACUGGAAAGCUGCACAAGAUGCAAGGAAAUCCCAACACUAGGGACCCUACCGCUUCUCCAAAAUCUUGAGAUAGUUAAACUCUCAGAAGUUAGCUGCUUUGGAUCAUCAUUUUACGGUGGCAAUGGAUCAAAUACCAACACCAGUGAAACUCAAGCUACAAAAUCAUUCUUUCCAGCACUCAAAAGCCUCAUAAUAAACAACAUGCGAAGCCUACUAGACUGGAAGGGACCAGAAGAAAUCUCUGCAUCUUAUGAAGCUAAGACGUUUAAUAGCCUUGAGAGAUUAUUUCUUAGAAGGGAUCCAAAGUUGAUGACUGCUCCAAGUCAUUUCCCUGCACUCAAGGUACUGAGGGUUGAAUCCAUCAAGAGCAGCUCGCCACUGGAGAGUAUAUGCAAUUCCAAGCUGACCACCCUCACCAGUCUCCAUGUUGAGGAUGUACAGGAGCUAACUUCUCUUCCAGAUGAGUUGCUGGAAAACAACACCAAUCUUUCUUAUCUAUGUAUUAUAAAGUGCCACUCUUUGACACACAUUGUUCCUCAUAUGUCCGGUUGCAGUGCAGUGCUCCAAGAGUUGGAGAUCAAGGAAUGCGGGGCAUUACAAGAAUUUCCACCAGAAAUUUGUUCACUCAGAUCUCUCAAAAGGUUCGAGCUAUCAUACUGCCCUAGUAUCAAAUUAUUUCCAAAUUUGAAUGGACAGGGAGGCCUUCCAUCCCUUCAGAGCUUGACAGUUUCUGAGUGCCAAGGUUUGAUCAGUAUACCAAGUGAGGUAUUGGAGUCUUGCAAGUCUCUCCAAUACCUAUGGGUGACAGAGUGUGAAAAUCUCAUCGAGUUUUCUCCAAAUUUUCAACAAAUGCCUAACAUUUCAUUCAUGAGAAUUACUUCCUGCCCUAAGUUGAAUACCAUGCCCAAGGGGCUUGGUGCACUUAGCAACUUGGCUGACCUCAGGAUGGGUCCUCUUUCAAAUUCAAUGGAGUUUGAAACAUUCCAAACAUGUUUUACAGGGCUUCAACAGCUUUCUUCACUUGUUUCUCUAUUCUUAGUCGGGCAGCAUCACUGGAAUUCUUUGCCUGAAGAGCUUCAACACCUGACUGCUCUGAAAGAAAUGACUUUAUAUGACUUUGGAAUAGAAGUUUUGCCAGAUUGGAUAGGGAAUCUUUCCUCCAUUCAAAGUUUAGCCCUCUCCAAUUGCCGAAAACUUGAGUCCUUUCCCUCCAAAGAAAUAAUGGAAGGCCUCAAGAAUAUGGAGUACCUGGAUAUCGAGGACUGUAAUCUGCUAGCAAGGAAAUGGAUGCUGCAAAAUGAACCAGAUUCUGAAUGGUUUAAAGUUUCCCAUAUUAAGCUCGUCAUUCUAGAUUAUGAAGAAGUUUCAGAUCCAAUCAUCUGGAAUAUGUAAGUGCUUCCAAAACUAUCCAUUUUACAUUUUACUCUUAGGAAGUUUUACAUUCUUUACUUGCAAAAAAAAAAAAAAAAAUCUUUACUUACUGCAAGUCCAAUCUAGUAUAAUAUUUACUGUUUUUCUUUUCUGUUUAUUCCACUGCAAACCUUAAUUAUGCAGGAUCCAUAGGAUGAUGGAAAAGCGAAUGCAAAAGAGAAAUAACGAGGAAAAGAAGAAGAAGAAGAAGAAGACGAAGAAGACAAAGAAGAAGACAAAUUCAAGUACUUCAACUAGCUGAAAAGUUGUAGUAGAAGAUUGCCAAUAAGGGAUAAAUAUCCUUUAGGAUAAGAUGAAGUUUGUUUGUUUUAAACUCUUGCAUAAAGUAAGACAAAUUCUUUUGAACUUAGAAGUGCUUUUUGAGAAAGUUCAAAGUAAUAGGAAAGUGAUUUUUCGUAGCAAAUCACUCUCUACUUGGCCUCUUUAUAUAGGAGAGAUUGUUUAAGAAAUAAAAGAACUUAUUAAAUACUUGUAUGAAUAAAUUCAAUAUAUUAUGUACAAAUUCAUUCACUUUAAUUCAUACAUUCAACCUAGAGUAUUUUGAAAUUUCGAAGAAUAUUGUAAAUUGUUUGACUGCACCAAGCUCAAUGAGCUCUUAUUUAGCAGGUUCACUAUAGUAAAAGGCAAAGCUGAUCAGUACAAUCAUGCAAAGCUAAUUCAUACGAAGUUAGUUUGAUUCAUCUCGCAAUACAAUCAAUUUAGUUGAAUUAGCUUUGCCAAAAAUGUAUUGCGAGAUGAAUCAAAACUAACUUUGUAUGAAUUAGCUUUGCCAAUCAUAAACUAACUUUGUAUGAAUUAACUUUAGGAUUCAUCUCGCUUUGCCAAUCAAUUUAUUAAUCCUAAAGUUUUAGUGAAAAGUAAUUUGGUUGUUGAAUUAUUCAAUUUGCCAAAAAUGUGGACAAUCGCAAAAUUCACUUCAAAAUUAUACAAAAUUUGGCACACGUGACUCUUGCCGGCAUAAGUCAAUAACAACAGAUAAAACUCUCUGUUUUCUCUUAAUUAUUUUGUUGAAAAAAAUACUAUUUUAGCAAGGAGAAAAGCACGUCUCACCAAUAAUUGAACCAAAAAAAAAGUGAAAAAUACAUACAGAUAAAACAUACAAGCAACCAAAAAUUUCAAAAGUACUUCAACAAUCAACUUAUACUCUUUUCAGUCUACUCUUUGGAAGACAACGUUGGAACUUGUACACAUGCAUUAUAUGACACAAGAAUGUGUCCAAAUUCAACUAAUAGAUGUACCUAAUCAUCUUAACAAUGAGAGUUAGGCUCCUCAUCCAAUGAAUGUAAUAUUACUCACAGGAAAAUUGUUUUUGUCAAAAUGAAUGGUUUAUUCUUGAAAUAAAAACAACAAUGAGGCAAUCGAGUAUAUUGACGUUCAUAUUAGAUUUUUAAUCCAUAUGAGAUUCUUUUGUUUCUAGUAAUUACAAAAUAUUUUCAUAAGAAAAUAUAUUACUCUAUUUAAAGAUGGUAGCAGAAGAUGGAAGAAUUGUACACCAAAACAAAGUGGACUAGAGACAACCAACCAACUUUCCACCGUAGAAGCAACCAACCAACUUUCCACUGUAGAAGCAACCUACCUAAUCAUAAAUAAAUGAAGAGUUAGGCUUCUCAUCCAAUGAAUUUAAUAUUACUCACAAGAAAAUUGUUUUUGUCAAAAUGGAUGAUUUAUUCUUGAAAAAAAAACAACAAUGAGACAACAGAGUAUUGACGUUCAUAUUAGAUUGUUAAUCCAUAUGAGAUUCUUUUGUUUCUAGUAAUUAUAAAAUAUUUUCAUAAGAAAAGAUAUUAUAUUACUCUAUUUAAAGAUGGUAGCAGAGGAUAGAAGACCUAUACACCAAAACAAAGUAGACUAGAUACAGCAUCAUCAGUUCAUCAAACAAUGUCAAUGUCAAGAAUUGGUGAUUCCCAGAAGAGAGCAGUUGCACAUGUAGCUCUGUUUCCUAGUGCAGGAAUAGGCCAUUUGGUCCCAUUUCUGAGAUUGGCAGCCAUGCUUGCUUCUCCUAAUUGCCAAUGCAGAGUUACGUUGAUUGCUGUUCAGCCUCCAGUUUCUGCUGCAGAGUCCAACGAAUUGUCUACCUUCUUUGCUUCCCACCCUCAAAUCAAUCAGCUUGAUUUUCAUCUCCCAAUUCCCAGCAGUCCAUCCGAAUUUGCAGACGCUGAUAAACCUGAUCCUUUCUUUGCUCGAUUUCUAGCUAUUAGUAGCUCAGUUCAUCUCCUGCAUCCUCUCCUGGCUUCCUUAUCUACUCCGCCUCUAUCAGCCAUCUUCGCUGACUUUGCUGUUGCAGCCGAUAUCAAUCGUCUAGCUGAUGAAUUAUCUAUGCCCCUUUACAUUGUAUCCACCACUUCAGCUAGAUUUUUUUCACUUAUGGCUUGUCUUCCUGACUUGAUACUCGAAAGCAAAAGUUCGGAAGACUCUAGCAUUCAGCUUCCGGGUUUAGCUUCGGUGCCAAUUUCAAGCCUUCCUCCUCCCUUCUUUACUCCAGAUCAUAUUUUCACAGCCCACAUCCGUUUAAAUGCUCAAUUCCUCUCGAAAGCCAAGGGUAUUCUACUUAAUAGCUUUGAUUGGUUUGAGUCUGAAACAAUUGCUGCAGUAAAUACUGGCAAGGUGCUGGCUCAUUUACCUCCUUUUCUCCCCAUAGGACCAUACGAGCCUUGUAAGGCUGUCGUGAAAGCUGGCUCUUAUCUGCAGUGGCUAGAUGGCCAACCAAAUGAGUCUGUAGUCUAUGUUAGCUUUGGAAGCAGAACAGCAUUGUCAAAGGAACAAAUAAGAGAACUAGGAAAUGGACUGGAGAGAAGUGGAUGCAGAUUUCUUUGGGUAAUAAAGACUACCAAAGUUGACAAAGACGAGAGGGAAGAUCUGCAAGAUUUACUUGGCAGUUCAUUUCUUGAAAGAACAAAGAAGAAGGGGCUAGUUUGUAAAGCAUGGGUGGAGCAAGAGCAAGUUUUAGCGCAUCCAGCAAUCGGAGGAUUUGUAAGCCAUUGUGGGUGGAAUUCUGUAACUGAAGCAGCUCGUUAUGGGGUGCCUAUACUGGCUUGGCCUCUAAAUGGAGACCAAAAGUUGAACGCAGAAGUGACAGAGAAGGCAGGCCUUGGAGUAUGGAUGAGGCAUUGGGGUUGGCUGGGGGAGAACCUAGUGAAGGGAGAGGAGAUUGGGGAUCAAAUUGUCGAGUUGAUGCAGGAUAAAACAUUGAGGAUAAAGGCAAAGAAGGUGAAGGAAGAAGCUAGGAAGGCCUACGAAGUUGGUGGGAGUUCUAAGAAAGUGCUUCUGGAAAUCAUAGAAAAUCAUUGAGCUGAAGCCAGAAGAAUGAAACUUGAAAUGGGCAGAAUCCAGAUCACUGGUAGCAAAAUUUAGCUGAGAACUCCGAUAAAUUACUGUUAUCUACUGUCGUAGAAGCAAAAUUCCCACUUUUGUGCUAUUUUUUAUCCUUGAUUUGUUGUCAAUUACUCCAGAAGAUAUUUCUCUUCUUCUCUUUCUCUACUUUUUUCCUUUCUUUCUAAAUACAUUAUUAUGAUAUCAACAAAUAAUCCUUGCUUCGUGUAGAAUUGACCUGAUAGAAGGAAAAAAAAUUAAAAUGAUGAUACAAAUGACCCUUGAUUGGUGUGAACUUGAUUAUAUAAUCUUCAUACUAAUGCAACUUUACAGUUUGGAACUUAAAAGCAUGAGCUGAGAAGAUUGGUUGUUUUUGUUUAUUUCUGUUCACCGGUGUUUUCCAACCAGCUGGUCAGAUUCAUUUCUAUUAUGAUAAUACAUAGAGACAGAUUGGUGUCAAGGUCUGCUCAAUUUUACUUUCACUGCCAGUCAAUGCACAAAUAUUGAAUUUGUUUUCCCACUCCAGUGAAGAGACUAAUCUUGUGCAGACCAUCAGAGAAGAGUUGGAGAGUCUGGAAGGUUCUUUAUCAAUCAUCCAAGCUGUCUCGCGGGAAAAUCUGAGGCUGCAGGACAAGGCAGAGAACAUCAAGGUAUAAUGCUGAUGAAAAUCUCCCAGCAUGAGGUAGAGAUCUUGAACCAAGAGAAACCAAAGGUAUGCUUCUUCUCCUCGCAUUCUAAGAAGAAAGCCUUUCUCUAUGAAAUGUUACCUAAAGCAAGAGAUAUUAAUAAUAAGCUGAAGAUGAUCGAUAAAGGAAAUGAACACUUGUGUAGAUCAAAAGCACAAGGGAACCAGCAACCAUCAGUUUAUAAUCAGCACAAGGGAAACACAGGAUUUAAGAAGCAGGGAAGUGACAGAGGAAUUAGAUACCAGGACCCAUAAUUUUGUUUCAUCCCUUCUUAUUUGGUCAUUGUGAAUUCUUUCAGCUUUUUGUAUUUUUUUUUUUCAUAUUCUACUCCUUUGCAUCUCCAAUCUCUCGCACAGAGGGUGAUCUUGGAAACUUGAAAAUCUACUAUAAUCCGCUAUCUUUUACCGUGAUGAGCAUAUAAUUUCCAGGCCAAAAAAAAAGAAAAAAAAAAGAGAUUAAGAGAUGCAUUCCAACCGUGUAAAAAUGUUGUGUUUUGAGUAUGUGAGCACUUGAAAUGCAUUAUUUUAAAUAUGAUUAGAUGAAAAAGGAUGUUAUCUGGAUGUAAGGAACUAUUUGUUCAAUUUUCCUUUUUAGGAUCUUCUAUCACUUCUGUUUCUACACGCCUUUGUGUGCCUUUUAUUCUCUUCAUGUUCAUGGAUUACUUUGUAUGAUAUAUUAUGAGUUACGAGUUCCCCUCUCAUGCAAUGAAAAUUAAUCACUUAUUAGGCUUUUAGGAUCCUGUUUAAUGUUAAUAAAAAUUUGAUGCUUCUAAGUCUAAAUAUUAGAUUGCUUUAGAACUUCUUUCAGACAAAUACUAAAUAUCUUGCUCUACCAGCUGACCAAUGAAUGCUGAUACAUCAACUUAAAAUGUACCAAAAGAUAGUCUUCUUCCAUUGGAAAAUAAACAAUAAUAGUAAAACAGUUGUAAUAAUCUAUUUCUACACUAAAAAAUUAGCCAACGUAAAAGAAAAAAAGGAGAAAGGAAAACAAAAUAUUCUAAAAUAUUCGCUAGGCCUCAGGUUAUUAAUACUAAUACGGAUCGUCAAGAUAGCAGUAUUGCAUAAUCUUCACCUAAGUAGUGAAUUAAUAAAAUCAGCUCCUCCUUCCAUGUAUAAACUUUAAGCUGAAAUAGACAAGACAUCUGAACCCUGCUGGACCACAAUAUAGGCCGAAUAAGGGCAUGUAAAUUAUUAUUGCAAUUUCUUUUUUGCUUGAUUCGAAAUUUUUCUUUGGGUAAAAUACGCUUUAGCGAUUUUACACGUAAUGCUCCCAGGAUUUCAAAAAUUAUACAUAAUUCUCUCAUAAUUUGGACUAAAAUGUCAAAAUGAUAGAAAUGAUCCUCCGUAAUGAAACCCACAGAAAUAUCAAAAUUAUCCUUGUUUAAAAACUAAAAUAAAAGAAGUAAUUUAAAUAUAUAAACAUAAUAUGCAUGACAUUUUUACCCUUUAUAGUUUUAUAUUUUACCAUAUAUCUCCAUUAUGAUUUUUGAAAUAUGUGCAUAACUAGCAUGUGAUUAAUGAAUAAUAUCCAACUUUAUAUAGGGUACUUUUGACAUUUAAGUUGAAUCAAUUAUGGAAUGCAAAUUCCGUUAAUUUGACACUUUCGUCCAAACAAUGGGAGACUUAUGUAUAGUUUUUUAAAACCAUAGUGGAGUUAUGUGUAAAAGUGCUAAACCACAGGGAGUAAAGUAUAAUUCACCCUUUUCUUUUCUUGUGACACAUUUAUAUUAUGCAACGGAAAUUUGUGGCAAGUUCUGACUAAUUAAAUUAGUUCCUUCAUUUGAGAUUUGUAUUUGUUCUGAACAAUUAUUGUUUUAUCAAUAAAAGUGACAAACUUGUCAAAAAAUAAGAUAAAAUAACAAACUAAAAAGAAAAUAUGGAAUUGAUGGUAUUCUUUUCUUUUUCUUUUUCCAAACGAUAAAAGAUUUGAUGGUAUUCUUUUCAAAUUCAACAUAUUUUAUGAUCACUACAGUAUUCAAAAUGGUUUAGCUGCUUAAAACAAUGAGUUCAGCUUUCCAGUCUUGACUAUUCUUUAUCUACAGAUUCACAACUUUUGCCGAUCCACUACCUAAUUUCUAAAAUACUGAGUCAAAUAAUUAAACUAGCAGAUGAGUUGGAUACUGCAUUGGGCUGGAAAACAGAAAGUCACCACAUAUUAUUAUUUGCAAGCUAAUGGAUUCCGCCAAAGUUUUACAGACUACAACUAGUGCCAAUAUUGACUGUGCACCUUAGACUGAGCUUCUCAUCUUAUUUGGAUUCAAAAGUUAAGAUUGAAGGAGUCGAAAUCUGGAUAUUGGGGGUUCUAAAGCAAUUUUUGCCCCAAAAUGCAUCAGCAUAAAGAACUUAAAUUAGUUCUAAUCCUUUUCUGGUCCCUCCUUACCCUCCUCCCAAGAAACAAAAAAUAAUUCCAAAGUAAAACUAAAUUACAAAGCUUAGUUUUCUUUGUUCCUUUUGUUCUUCAAGAUCAAAUGCAGACAUCAAUUAACUUGCUCUUUUCCAAAAACGCAAUUUCAAAAAGUAUUGCUUGAAAACUACAUUUUGUGCUUCCUUUUUGUUUCACUGUUAUAUCCUUUACUUUUAGGAACACAAAAAAGUCGAGAGGAAUAAUAUUUUAACUUGGAAAUAUUUAGUAACUAACGUUUUAGUUUCUAAAAAGUACACUAAUGUAUAGUUUGGCUACACUAUGUUUUUAACUAAACCAUUACCAUUUUCCAUUUCCCUCCUCAGAUAGCAUGGACAAUUACCUUAAAUCAUGUUAAGUUUCAUUCCCAGACCACACAAUCUGUUCAAGUUAGUUGGGGUAUAUUGUAACACAUAUAAAAGACACAAUCACAACACUUUGUUUCUGGCUAUAUAAAAUUAUUGAACUUUUUCCUUGUACUUCCAGUUUAAACUUGUUAUUCUACUUUUGAAACUUGUUAGAGUAUGGUUGGAUCAUUUCAACUUUUAAGUUUAAGAUCAGCUUCUAUUGCAAAACUCUAGCUCCCCUACAACCCAUAGCUUCUAUUAUCAUUUUGCUAUCCUAAAGUUUAGAGCUACUUUCAGUCUCCCUCACAGCAUUAUUCUUCAAGCAUUUUAUCUCUAAACCUAACACUCACACUUGACGUAGUUUAGUGAUGCAAUUAAAAGAUACAUUUAGCCCUUAGAGUCAUUACUUUACCCUCUUAAACUAUAGAGCUAUUAUUAGGUUACCUCCUAACAUAAUUUUUUUUUAUGUAUUUUACCCAUUAAAAUAGUUUAGCAUGUUGAUAAAUUUUGGACAAAAGUACCUUUCUCUUUAUGUAAUAAAAAAUAAAAGAGUAAAUCUUUCCUACACUGACGGUGUAUACACUAUCAGCGUUGGAUUCAUGACAUGUGUGCAAAAGUUGAAUUUCAAAUUCAAAUUUUGCAUAGUUGUCAUUCAUCCAACGCUGAUAGUGUAUACACUGUCAGUGUAGGAAAGAUUAAUCCAUAAAGAUAUUAUAAAACUUUGAAUUAUUCUUCACCAUUUUUCCCACUCUCUUAAAUACAAAGGGGUGAUUCUCUUUUUUUUUUUUUUGGCACUCUUAUCAAUAUUAAGAAAAGCAAGAGACGGGAAAGAAUUAGAGGGAAAACUCAAUUCUGGAAAGAAAGAAUAUGAGAAAGAACAUAGCAUUCUCAGUAUACUUUUUAUCCUAGUAGUAUUGAUAGUUAGCCUUGAGGCAUCAGAGUUCGAGGGCAUAUAGGCAAAUGCGCAAAGAUGAUUGUUACAUAUUCAACGAAAGAAAUUAUAUGUUCACAAACUCCCCGCGCAAAGUUGAGUGGAUAUGGCCUAAAUUAUAAGUUGACAUUGACCUGAGAAAAGAGGGGCUAAUAUUAUUCAUCUGUUUGCAAUAAAAACAGUUUAAUUAGGUUAUGCCUCUGGUUGUGGAAAAUGACAUAAAGCUUGGCAAUUUUCUUUCUGUGACAGAGACUAAAGCAACUUGAUUUCUUGAGAAGACGACAAUAUCGGACAUCAGAUUGCACAAGGAGACUUCACAAUCUACUUUUUUUUUUUUUUUUUUUUUGGGUUUAAGGGCAAAAUUCACUUCACCCCCUUGUGGUUUAGCAAUUUUUCACAUAACCCCCCUAUAGUUCUAAAAAUUAUAUAUAGCCCCCUCAUAAUUUAGAUUAAAGUAUCAAAUUGUCGAAAAUGAUCAUUUGUAACGGAACCUAUAAAAUGUCGAAAUUAUCUUUGUUUAAAGGGUAAAUUAUAUUUUACCCCCUAUAGUUUAGUAUAUUUGUACAUAACCCCCAUAUGGUUUUAAAAGUUAUACAUAACCCCCUCAUGAUUUAAAUUAAAGUGUCAAAGUGAUAGAAAUGAUCAUUCGUAACCAAACCUUUAAAAAUAUUGAAAUUACUCUUAUUUAAAAAUUAAAAUGGUUGAAAUGACCAAAAUAUAUAAAUAUAAUAUAUAUGACGCACUAACCCAGUAUGAUUUUAUAUUUUACCAUAUAACCCUCUUAUAAUUUAAUACUUUACCAUAUAACCCCUUAUAGUUUUCAAAAUAUACACAUCACCCCAUUGUGGUUAGUAAAUAAUUUUCAACUUUACAUAGGAGUAUUUUUGACAUUUUAGGUGACUCCGUUUUGGAUUGUAAAUCUCGUUACUUUGACACUUUAAUCUAAACUAUGAGAAAGUUAUGUAUAGUUUUUGAAAUUAUAGGGGGGUUAUGUGAAAAAGCGCUAAAUCACUGGGGGGUAAAGUGUAUUUUACCCUUUUUAUUAAAGUGAUAGAUUUUUAAUCCAAAACCUUCUACUUACAAUCCCUUUCAUCUUACCAUCCAAUUCAACCCUAUCUAGGGGACUUCACAAUCUAAUUGCGGCGUAGAACAAUUAACUCACAUCUCUAGGUACACGCCAUGUAUAAAACAAGUUCAUCUAUUAUUAUGUUUAGAGUUUAAAACUGUUGAAACUUGUACAAUGUUGUAUUGAAACUUGUAGAUCUAUACGCAUUAUACAAUGUUGUAUUGUGGUGUACUUUUAAUAUCAAAUUAAUAAAUUAAAUUCACAGAUAAAAGAAGUAAACUAACAAUUUUAGUACACCACAACAAUAUAAAUAGUCACUAUUUAGAUAGUAGUGAACAUUCUAAGAAACAGUUCUAGUGAAACACUCAAAAUUAGACGUUAAUUCUUGAACUCUUUUAAUUGAGUCUCAAACAUGCAAAUCUUUCAAGCACUCGAGCUCUCUAACUCUCUCUUACAAACUGAAGAAAAAGCACCUUUUUCCUCGUCUCAUGUAGUGCAUUGCAGUCUGAGAAUCUAGCGGAGAUCAUGCUCAAAUCUGAAAAACCUUUUUGGGGUCAAGCUGUCUAACAUGCUAAAUAUACCAUAAAUGUUUAUAGAACAAAAGCCUUCUAAACUUUUAGUCAUUGAAUGUGGCCAACAGCUUCACUGUUCCACAUUUACAAAUUGUUAAUAAUCAUGUCAGAGGGUCACUGUUGUAACUUUAAUAUACAAUACAAAAUGUAGAGUGUGGCUCCUGAUCCAAUUAAUUAGAGACAGCAAAAAUAAUUUUGUCACGAUGGAUGGCUACAAUAAUGAAAUAAAAAAAUAUUCAUUCUCACAAGAAAGGAUGAAAAAUGCAGAGUAAUUUGUUCCGAUGAAUUUGAAAAUAUCUGAAUUUAUGUACAUGCGGCACGUGCAUUAUUUUCUUGUUUUGUCCCCGUUACUUCACCAAAUCCAAUGAAAUUGGAAAUGGAUGUUAGGAAAUUCGAUUUAUUUUUCAUCUAGAUUGUGUGGCAAGUAAGUAAUUUCAAACAUUUUCUAUUUAGUAUUUACUUCAAAUAGUCAUUAAGAAAAUUUCUAUAUACAUGGGUUUCGUAAGCAUGUUAAGUCGUUCAAUUUCAUUAGUCGGGCAAUGGUUAAGCAACGCAUUCUAUAAAUAGGUGGGGAGUGGCAACACACAAAAGGAGCCACGUGGUCUUAUGCAUGAGGUAAAAGAAGUUAUACAAAGGUUAAAUUUGAGGUUCAAGUCGUAUUCUUAUUUGAGGUUCUUCCCUUAUAAUAAAGAAUAGGUGUUCUUUCCCUAGUCAUAAGUUCUAUAAUUGAAUCAAACCAGGUUAAAUAUUUUCUAUCACUCUUAUUUCAUGCGGUGGUUUGGUGUCAUUAAAUAGUUAAGUUCUUGAUUGUUCAAUAAUUAUUUAUUUUGCAUCGUGGAUCCCAACAACAGGCAUCAGAGCAUAGUUGGAUCGGAUUAAAUAUUGAUAUCAAAUGAAUUUGUAACAAUUAUCAAUUUAACAAUUUAUAAUAGGGUCAACACCAUUGUUCAAGAAAGUUUGGUAGGGGAAAGGAUUGGAAGCCAAAUAACGUCUCAAUAAAAGAAAAUAGUGGAGUCCAAUGUAACAUUUGAAUCUAAUCCAAUGGAGAGAUGUUUUCACAAUUUUCAAAUAUGUGUACUUCGCCUGGCGCUUGGAUUUUAGCUAUUGGUUGUAGCCAUUCUUUGGUUCGUGUGGUGUAUGUCCAUAGGCACAAAAAAUUUAAAUUUCCAUGCGUUAAUAGGCUCUAAAUGCUGGGCGGAUUUUGUUAGAGGAUUAAAAACUACACACACGGCGAGAUACCUCUGCUGAAAGUAUAGCUGUCAAACAAAGCUGUCAAACAAACCCAUGUAACUGAUUUAUCCAAAUUUGUCCAUGAAUAGAUGAGUAUGGGUAUUUUAAAUUUUUGUAUAUGGGUAUAAAUGGGUUACCCAAUAAUACUCAUUUAUUAAAUAAAUAUUAUUGGGUAACCCAUCAAAUCCAAUUAACCUAUUUAGAAUUGUUUUCCUCCAAAUCUCCUCUCUUCCCCUACCCAUUUUUUUUUUUCAAAAUUUUUAUUUUGUCAUGAUAUUAACUACUUUUGUCUCAUUAUUAUUAUUAUUGUCGGUUUUAUCUUAUCAUUUUAUUUUCUCUUAGUUUGUUAACUUGCUCAUUUUUCAGCAUUACCAAUUUAUGACAAGUUUUAGCCUUUUUUCUUGCUUUUCCAAAAUGAAAUUUUAAAUUUACAUACAAAAAAAUGAUAGAGGUUCAAAAUUUUUUGAUUAAGUUUUUAUGUUAACUUUCAUAGUACUUAGUUCAGAUUUUUAUAUUGUCAUUGUUUAAUUAUUAAAUAGUAUGUAAUUUUGCGACAUAGAGUACGGAUGGAAAACAAAUUGACAAUUAGUUUUAUUGAGUAUUAUAAGUAAAUAUUUAAAACUAAUGAUGUGUACAAAGGAUGGUAUAAAUUGAUAACUUAGUUUGAAAAAAUGAAUUUACAAAAGUUAAAAUAAAUGGGUAAUUGGGUUACCCAAUUCAUUUUUUGACUUACCCAUUUAGACCCAUCUAAUUAAAUGGAUAUAUGUGGGUUGACUUAUUUAUACCCAUUAUGCAUUUUACCCAACCCAAAUCCGACCAAAUCACCCAUUUUGACAUCUUUAGUUGAAAGGGAAGAAGUAUGGUUACCUCAAUGGUUGAAAGUGUAGUUUAGGAAAGGGAUAAUUUCAGAAAUCUCCUUGAGGUUUCUAAUAAUUUCACUGGCCUCCAUUGAGAUUUAUAAAAUUACACUUACCUCCCUUGGUAGAAUUGUGGGCCCAAUUACUUACACCAUAUUGGGGAAAAUUACUCAUAUACCCUAAAACAUUAUGUCUUAUAGAAACUAAUAUCUAACGAUUGAGUAAUUAGAGCACUAAUUAACUAUUAAUAACUAAUUAACAGAAAUAACGGUUGAGAAUUUCUUUAAUGAUGAAUAGUGAUUUGCAAUUAUAAAAUAAGGCCAAUUGAUAUACCAAAUGACAUAAUUUUAUGAUUGAUAGAACUUGAUAAUGAUCAGAAACCAGUUGUACACAAUAUGAGAAGAAGAACUCUAAUAGAAAAAAAACACAAGGCAAAAGAAGAUUGUUCAUGAGAAAAUUUUCUUUGAAACUUUUAAAACUGUAAUAGUUGUAAAGCAAUUUUGUAGAAGUAAAGGAGAAAGAAGGGAAAAGAAAGGCAAAAUUCAAAAAAAUUUUAUGUUCAAAAUCACAAGAAUCAUAGCAAAUUUAAUGUUAAGAGCAAUGAUUGGUCUAUUUUACUGAAUCUUAUGAUCAUUAGUUUAGUUUUAUUGUUUAUUUGUAUUGUCUAAUAUAUUGAACAUGAACUUUUUCAGUAAUGAAAUGUGUGUUUUAAUUGUUUCUAAUUUUUAAUUGUUUUCAUUUUUUUACUAAUACAAUUUAUAUACAUAAAUAAGUGGUAGUUAUGGGAUAAAAGUUUCAUCUCUCUCCUUAAAAUACCUUUUUAAUGUCACUUUUUCUGAUUUGGACUAAUUUUGUUACUAAAACAUUAAACUCAGGGGAAGUUUAUGUAAUUUGACAAACCUCAAGGGAGGCUAGUGAAAUUGUUAGAACAUGCAGGGAAUGUUUCUGAAAUUAUCCCUUUAGGAAAAGGAAUCCAAAGUUGCUUCCAAAUUAUAAGUGGUGGCAAAAAGGAGAAUCUUACAAACAGAUACUCCCUCCGUCCCAUUGAAACUGUCAUGCUUUCCAUUUUGGUCUGUCCCAAAAUGUUUGUCACAUACUCAAAAUGGAAAACAAAAAUUCUCUUGUUUCAAUUUUUACCCUUCAAGAUUCCCUCACUCUUUACUUUUAUUAGUGGGGCCCUUUGAUUUUCAUUUGCUCUCAACUCAAGUUGCAAGACAUCCGUGAGAUACACACAAGGUUUAAAGUGAUGCGUGAGAAUCACUCUCUGUUGGCGGAUUGCAUUUCUUGUAAGUAGUUUUGGCCCCACAUGUCAUUUUUGUCUCCUUAACCACUAAUGACCACACAUUCUAGUGGCAAAAUCGGAAAACAAAUCUGAAACUUAACACUGUGCAUAAAACGUUCAGCUCCCAAAGCACGACAAAGUUUUCGGGACAGAGGGAGUAAUAAAUUGAGCAAUGAUUGGGCCUUGGUCCAAUGAUUAGGGAGAGUCUAUUAAAACUCUCUCGUAUACUAGGUUGAGAGGUUUAAACUUUGCCAAAUGCAUUACAAGGAAGUGUAGUGCUUACUUGUUCUUAAAAAACUAGAGGUACUUGAACUGUGCAAAGCACAGUUUGAGCCCCCUAGAAAUUUAGUCGAAUGCAUAGCAUCAAAUUAUUUUGCCACAUGAUGAAUGAAUAGAAAUAUAGGAGAAAAAUUGAGCAUCAAAGCAAUUAAAAUUGACAAAUAUUAUUUGAACUCUCAUUUUUGUUAAUCAUACUUCCGCUAUUAUUUUUAUCAUAUAGCUUUUGUUUAUUAUAGGAAUAGAAUUAACAAAAUAUGGAGAAUAAAUAAAAUUUCUCUCAAAAUUUGUUGUAAAGAGAAAUCCCAUCUAUGAAUUCAACCUCCCUAUUUAUUGUGAUUUGAAUAAAGAUUUUUGAACCACUAUUAUAUGAUACCCAAAAAGGAGAGAAAAUUAAUACACUAUAAGUGCAUUGAUGUAUUAAUAGUAGUAUAGUUUUAGUUAAAACUAAAUCAAAAGCAGUCAUAAUACUUUUAGUACUUUAAUAAUGAGAAAAAUUUUAGGAAGCUGCUAAAACAUGGCACAAUCUUCAACAUCAAUAUAGCUUACUAUAAACUUUCAUAUUUUUCUUUCUUUUGAUAGAAGAAUCUAGUUCAUCUAUGUAAAUUCCGCCUAAAGGUAACAACAUUAUCCUGCAGCUCCAGAAUAUAAAUAGUAAGAUUAGAUAAAAAUAUGAAUUGCUAUGUUUCCUGAUCUACAUAUACAAAUUAGAAUUGAACUAUUUUUUAUUGCAAAACCAUCUUCCUAAUCAAAAUUGAAUUUUCUAACAAUUUUUUGUCAAGUCAUAUUCUAGGCCGAAACCCUCAAUUGUGACUUCCACCACUGACUGCAAUCCUUGUAUACCAACCCAAUUGAUACUACAACACUUGAGUACUUAAAAAACAAACAAAAAUUAACUUUAUUUUAAAUAUAUACAAAAUCUUAUUGGAUCCUUCAAUUAAAUUGAAUAGGCCAUAAAGUAAUUGCAAAAAGAAAGAAAUGGAGAAAAACGGAGGUACAAGAAUGCCUAGCUAGAUUUAUCUUAGUGGAAACAUCACAUGAUAUAUCUUUCUCCUAAAAAAAUACACAAAAUUGUAGAUAAUUACAAAAUGGAACCAAAAAAACAAAGCAAAGGAAACAAAAUGUGACGUCAGAAAUCAAAUCAUGGGAGGAGAAAAUAAAAGAAUGAAUUUUUGUUCUAUUAUUCAUAGAAAAUGAUCAUUGGUAUAAAAUGAAUUCUAAGAUAUUUUAAUAUUUCACCUUUUAUCCAUGAAGAACUACCAAAUAAAAACAUCAUCCUAUAAAUUUAACAAACAAAUGCCAGUUGGCUAUAACAUUAUGAUAAAAAAAUAGAGCAAACAUGAGAGAUUAGAGAUGAAGAAAAAAGGAAGAAAAGAAAAUGUAAAAUGGGAUAAAAAUAAUAAAGAAUUCUUUUUGCUAAGUAGCUAUCAUCUUGACAAAAAAAAAAAAAAGAACAUGGCAACAAUCUUAGUUAGAUUAGUUUUAAAAAAUAAAAAAUAAAAAAAGUGGGGGAUGACAUUAGUUACUGCAAGAAGAAAAAGAAGAGAUGGAGUUGAUUUUCUUAAGGAGAAAAAAUAUUUUAAUCCUUUAACCCAAUUGGAUCAAAAAUGGGAAGGAAAAAUUUAGGUAAAAUAAUCAAAGGUCCACUUGUCAAAAAUAUAUGCAUUACAUGUGUCAAAAAGAUGGUUAGCUACAGUAACUUGAAUUUCUUUUUAUAUACAAGGUAGAUCUUACUGCACUUGUUUGGUCUGGUAGGCUAGUGUAGAAGUUCCGGUGCUUUUUUAGACUCCCCUUCCCUACAGCAUAGGGUAGUGUAGAAGUUCUGAUGGCUCAUCUUAAUGUAGAAAUAGAGUAAAUGUUCCUGCUAAUGACCAAUAAAAGAAAGAUAAUAAAUUGAGCCAUCUCACAUGAGUCAACUUAGUGUAGUUUAAUUGGCUCAUCUAAGUGAAGUUUAAAAUUUUGAACUCCUAAUUAUCCAAACAUAUCUUAGUGUAUUGUGCGUUUAUCUUAUAUGUAAUGACUACGGUAUCACAGUUACACACGUAUGACAUGUACACCAUAUUUUAAUUUAAAAUUUAAAUUCAGUUUAAUUAUCAUGCAUUCACUGGUGACAAAAUAUACGUGGUCAAUGUUAGAAUGCUAAUCUAUGUAUACAGACUUAAAUUCAUAAAAUUUCUAGUGAUAUAGUUAUAAUUUCAUAAGGACCGGUGUUUUGACACAAAAUCGAGAUCAAAUUUAUAAAUUUAGAUCAUAAAAAGAUUUGGAAUAACAUGAUUGGGAGCUCACAACUAUGACUAAACCUACUAUAGUCUUCUUUGGAAGGUAAUUUUUCACCAAAUUUUUUUUUAAUAUUUUUCAAUCACUUUUUUAUUUUACAUACAUCAAGUCACUAUAGUAUAUUUUUCUAUAAAAUUCCCUAAAAAUAACAAUGUAAAGGGGUAAAUUUUUGUGAAUCCAAUUACUCAAAAAAAAAAUAAAGUGGAAAGAAUUGAAAUAUCAGCAUCACCACCUACCUGCCCCCCGGCCACGGGGCCCGUGUGAUGUCACAGGACUGUUACGGACAUUCGGUAGUCCAAUUAACGGUGGGGUCGGUCGUUCGUCGUAGCCUUCCACUGGACUCUACUGCAGCGGGGCCCCAAGGGAUGUGGUUUCGUAGUCGAAGCUGAGUCAGGAUGGACCCCACCACCUGUAAAAAAAUAAAAAGUAUCCGAAAAGAACAGCCAGCGAGCGAAUCCAAUGCUGCCGUUGUUUGGUGGGAUUGAAAUUCAAUCGCCAAUUCACUGCAGGCAACAAUGCGCAGCCCUAUAACACUGCAUGUAUAGCCCCCAAGUGAAUGGGCUGGUGGUUGGCGCCUCUUUCUCGGGACCGUUAGGUCCUGGGGUUGAACCUCCGCAGCAACAUCGGUUUUUCCGUGCAUCUAACGUGCUAGAUCUGGUUGGGGCGCUGGGCCCGGCCGGAUUGGGAUUAGUCGGGCCACCUUUACGGACUUGACCCGGACACUCACUCCGUCGACAAAAAAAAUAAAAAAAUAAAAUAAAAUUACACUGCAUGUAUAGUUUCAUUUUCAUAAUCUUGGUUGGGGAAUUAAUUCCCUUUUAGUCCUAGUAUGCAAUACUGCUGUCUUGACGAUCCGUAUUAGUAUAAAUUUCCUGAGGCCUAGGGAAUAUUUUAGAAUAUUUUAUUUUGGAGUUAUUUUUUGUUUCUUGGGUGGAGGGUAAGGAGGGACUAGAAAAGGAAUUAUGACUAAUUUAAGUUCUUUAUGCUGAUGCAUUUUGGGGCAAGGAUUGCUUUAGAACCCCAAAUAUCCAGAUUUCGACUCCUUCAAUAAUAACUUUUGAAUCCCCAUAAGAUGAGAAGCUUAGUCUAAUAAUAAUAUUGGCGGAAUCCAUUAGCCCAUUGGUUGUCCAGCCCAACGGAGUAUCCAACUCAAAUGCCAGUCUAAUUACUUGACUGAGGAUUUUAGAAAUUAGGGUUGUGGAUUGGCAAAAGUUUGUGGACCUAUGGAAAAAGAAUACUGUAGUGUAUUUGAUGAAACAGCAAAAUCAAAACUGAAACUAAAUAUGAUUUAAUUCAAUAGUUAAAAUAGACAAAUCUUAGAGCUGUUACGACAAGAUAAUAUACACAAAAUUAUGUAGAAAUUUAUUGGUAGACUUCUUCAUGACCUACUCAUAAUCACUUCCUUCUCUGAAAUCUGAAUGCAUCAUAGCUUUCAUAGCACUUCAACAAGCAUUUUGUUAAGUAAGACAAAAUACUAUUCACAAUAGUAAUUUAGAAAGAAGUAAUUUUGAUGGAACUUUUAAAUACCAUAAAGGAUAUGCAGAGGACAGGGCAAAACUAGUUAAAAGUAUUGGCUUUGGAUAGGGUAUUAUUUGAAAUAUUAUUUGGAAUAAUUACUAUAGCACUUUUUAUGAUGUGAUGUAUGCGAGAUAAAAAAAAUGGUUGGAAAUAUAAAAAAGAUGGAUUAAAAAAUGUGUUUAUGAUGCAAGCGAAAUAUUAUUUGAAAAUUUUUUUGUAUCCAUCAGUUUACGGGCAUUUCAGAACCCCAAAGUCGUCCCCGCCGAAUCCAAGAGGCCUCAGGCCUUGAAAAGAGGUCAGUCUUAAGGGAGACCAUGCGAAUGGUUGAAUUGAAUACACGUUUUAUCUUUAAUCCAAUCUAAUUAACUGAGCUUCUUUUAGAAUAGAACGGAUAAAGGAAGGAGCUAAGAGCUUUCCGCCAAGUUUUUUUUUGUCACUUUCUUCUUUUAUAAACUUCUUCGCUAAACUCAAUUCAAAAAAAGCUGUACUGACUAGCGUGAACUCACGGAUUGAGUUGUAAACGGUACCUUUGCUGGGAAAAAGCAGAUCAAUCAAGUUAAUCAAGGACGGAGCUGUUAGUGACGAUUGGCCCAGGGGCCCUUGGGCCUCAGGGCAUAGAUAGAUCAUAGGUGAGUACAAAUAGGCCCGUUAAAGACGAGUAAGCAGGGUGCGACGAAGCCCACGGGGUGGCACAUGGUCGUACUUAAAGGACGAACCACUGGCAUUACUUAACCAUGCCUUCUGCACUUAAAGGACUGCCCAUUUGUAACCCAUAGAUUAUCCUCCUACUUGGCUCAUUCUUACCCUCGCAUAGCUGAAAGCUAUUUUAUUUUUUUAAAUCCUUCCACUCCUCUCCGUACCAUUCCAAGGUUCAACUGUUAGGUACAGACUUUGAACUGAGCCUGAUAGCGGGAAGCCUGAGUUGAAAGCCAGUUACUCUCCACAAAGCAUACUCCAAUCAUACCACUCACUGCAUUUCCCUUGCGCCAUGUCUAGCUCAUUUUUUGGUUCAACCACGAGCGAGCAAAGAUGGGCUAAUCAGUUCAAUAAACAUUUCACCAUAUACAUUGAAAAUGAUGCCUCCAUCUUUCGUGUACCAAAAAAAGUAUGCGACACAAAGCCAGAAACUUAUGCCCCUCAGCAGAUAGGCCUAGGAGCAUAUCAUAACUUGAGGCCUGAUCUUGAUGAAAUGAACCGCAGAAAGCUUGAGGCUGUCAAGAUAUUUUUGAAGCCGGAACAGUACCGGAAUUUCAAAAGCCUAAUUGUCGACAAGGUCAAAGAGCUUGAGCCCUCAGUACGCGCUUGCUACAGCAAGUACUUGGACAUUGAUGGCGAUACUUUGGCAUGGAUCAUGUCUAUUGAUGGUGUAUAUUUGCUUCAUCGGCUGAGCACCUAUAGAUAUAAAGGAAGUGUUGAUUCGGAGGACAGGAAGUUUGCUCAGGACAUUGCAAUGUUGGAGAAUCAAAUGCCCGUGAUUGUGCUCGAAGAAAUAUUGAAGGCUAUUCAAGCUCCUGUUGAAGGUGAGGUGCAAGGUGCCGAUGAUGAUGAUGAAGCUGGUGAUGGUGAGGAUGAAGAAGAAGAUGACGUUGAGGAAGAGGAUGAAAGUGAGAACGAGGAAGAAAACAAGGAAAAAAAAUUAAAUCGAUUGUUUUUGUCAUUCUGUAAAGCACACACUCCCCUUGGCCUAACUGAUAAAGCAGGAAUUCUUGGCGAUACCUCUAAUCCUCAUCUUCUGAGUUAUAUGUAUAAUUUGAUUGUGAAAAAUCGGUCUCUUGGAGAUCAGUCUCCCGAAGUUCGUAUUCUUUUAUCUUCGGCACCAGUCGAGGUAGCUGAUCCAGUUACACAAGUUACACAGGCUGCAAGCGUUGCAGCUGAUUUGACGGGGCAGAAACCUCUGCAACUGUUAGCUAGUUUGCCACUGCAGCAGCUUGCUGAUCUUUUCAAAGAAGAUUCAGAAAAAGGAAACUCUUCAAUUGAAGAGAUCCAUAUCCCAUCAGCUUCCCAACUUGAUGCAAUUUGCAAAGUACAAUUUGAAGUCUGGAGUGAAGAUUCAGGCGUCAAAAUAAUGGAGCUUGAUAAAUUGAAUCGGGUAAUGUGCCUCCCCGUAAUUACUUUGAACACUGAUUCAGAAGUGAUAUUACGAAACCUGGUGGCUUAUGAAGUUGCCUCAGCUUCUCCUGGAUCUACCCUUAUACUUGCCGGAUAUGUGGAUUUCAUGUGCGGCAUUAUUGAUACUGCAAAAGAUGUAGAUUUGCUCAAGGAAAAAGGAAUCAUAGAAAGCAAUCUCCUGAGUGAAGAAAUCGCAGAAAUCUUCAAUGGGAUAAGCAAAUCUAGCAGUCAGCGUGCCCUUCCUGAAUUAGAAGAGGCUACUCAGGAUUUGAAUAGGAUUUAUGACAGCACUUUCAGAGUCAGAACUUGGAGAUUGAUAAGAGACUAUUUGAUUCCAUCUGUCAAACUCUUUUUUGCGAUAUUGGUGCUUUUGCUGCUCACAGUACAAUCAGUUUGCCAGGUUUAUGGCUGCAGUGCAAGUUCGCUUGGCAGGGUCAGUUCUAUAUGAUCAUUAUGGUUUUACAGAAAGUUCUUGUUUGCCUUCGGGUUUUGAUCUUAAAAUUAGAAUUUCGUGUUUGUCAAUUUGAGGAGGUGUUAAUUAUUGUUCUUUUGACUACAACCUAAUGAUAAGAGUACUAGUUUGGCAAAGACUUCUUUCUUUUUCUGUUUUUCAACGCAAAUAUAUUUUUUUUAUGCAUCAAACUAUAUAUCUCUUACAGUAUUAAUGAAGCAAAAUAGCAUACACAAGCACAAAUUUUGAUUCGAAAUUUUUCUUUGAGUAAAAUAUACUUAAGCAAGUUUUUCCGUAACGCUCUUGUGAUUUCAAAAGAUAUACAUAACCUCUCAUAAUUUGUACUAUAAUAUUAAAGUGAUGAAAACAAUCUUUUAUUGUGACACAUUUAUAUCAUGCAAUCGAAGAAAAAACACCUAAUUAAACUAAUAAGUUUGAGACGUCAGGCACCCUUUUUCCUCGUCUCAUUUAAUCGAAAAAACCUUUCUUUGGAUCAAACUAUCUAACAUUGCUACCUAAAUCAUAAAUAUAUAUAUAUAUAUAUUUAUAGGACAAAAGCCAUCUAGAGAAUAAUAAAGAAUAGGUGGUCUUUCCCUAGUCAUAAGUUUUAUAAUUGAGUCAAACCAGGUUAAAUAUUUUCUAUCACUCUUAUUUCAUGCGGUGGAUUGGUCUCAUUAAAUGGUUAAGUUCUUGAUUGUUCAAUAAUUAUUUAUUUUGCAUCAUGGAUCCCAACAAUUGGUAUCAGAGCAUAGUUGGAUCGGAUUAAAUAUUGAUAUCAAAUGGAUUUGUAACAAUUUAAUAGGGUCAACAUCCUUGUUCAAGAAAGUUUGGUAAAGAGCAUUGAAGGGGAAAGGAUUGGAAGCCAACAAACAUCUCAAUAGGUGAUAAAGGAUAAAAGAAAAUAGUGGAGUCCAAUGUAAAAUUUGAAUCUAAUCCAAUGGAGAUGUUUUCACAAUUUUCAAAUAUGUGCACUUCGCCUGGCGUUUGGAUUUUAGAUUUUGGUUGUAGCCAUUCUUUGGUUCGUGUGGUAUAUGUCCAAAGGACGCAAAAAAUUUAAAUUUCUAUGCGUUAAUAGGCUCUAAAGGCUAUGCGGAUUUUGUUACAAGGUGGAGCAUUACAAACUACACACACGGCGAGAUACCUCUGUUGAAAGGGAAGAAGUAUGGUUACCUCAAUGGUUGAAAGUGUAGUUUAGGAAAGGAAUAAUUUCAGAAAUCUCACUUGAGGUUUCUAACAAUUUCACUGCCUUUCCUGAGGUUUAUAAAAAUGCACUUACCUCCCUUGGUAGAAUUGUGGGCCUAAUUACUUACACCAUAUGGUAGGAAAUUACUUAUAUACCCUAAAACAUUAUGCCUUAUAGAAACUAAUAUCUAACGAUUGAUUAAUUAGAGUACUAAUGAAGUAUUAAUAACUAAUUAACAAAAAUAACUGUUGAGAAUUUUUUUAAUGAUGAAUAGUGACUUGCAAUUAUAAAAUAAGGCCAAUUGAUAUGCCAAAUGGCACUAUUUUAUGAUUGAUAAAACUUGAUAAUGAUUAGAAACCAGUUGUACACAAUGUGAGAAGAAGAACUUUGGUAAAAGAAAAAACACAAGGUAAAAGAAGAUUGUUUGUGAGAUAGUCCUUCUAGUGCAUAAUUAUUUGUGAGACAUUAAAACAAAACUGAUAAAGAAACAUAAUAUUUUCAACCCUUCACCAAGUAAUGCCAAGGGUAUGGUUGUUGACAUAAGGAAUUUCUGUUUGCAGACAGUAUUUCUAUGACAAUCUUUAUGUGUAAAGAGAUAGUUAUCCACUACUGAGAAGAACUUUUUUUUCUUUUUUCUUUUUUUUAUCUUCAACAGAAUUUAAAAGCUUGCAAGAAUUUUCCAUGAAAUUCACUAACCAUAUUUUUGAGAAUUCAGUAGUUCAAGAAUCUUGGUUUAAUUUUUGUGCCCUUCUUGUGCAGUACUAUUUAGGUUCAAAGUAAGGAUAAGAGCUUUUUAAGAGAAGAAAUGUAGCUUGGGCUUUCAGUAUUGUUCUUUCUUCCUUCUUUUUUUUUUUUUUGGAAUUUCUCUAUUUCUUCCAAAAGGAAAAAAAAUGAGGUGAAGAUUUAUUAGACGAAAAUGUCAGUUGCUAUAUGUGUCUAUAAAAGAAUCCCACCACCAAAUAUUCUUGUUCUUGCAUCAUCCAUCACUGUUCAAUUGUAAAAAUAGGAUUGGUUUUAACCACUUGCGAUAAAAUUAGGUCUUCAAUAUUGGUAGCAUCCAAACUGAAGCAAAUAUAUACCAUCAAGUUCCAGGUUCCUGUUAUAGCAAGCUCGGAUGGAGGGCUCAAUCGUUUUCAGCUUAUUAAUCAGAAGUUCUUCAAAAUUAUCAAGUAUUUCUGGCUGAACAAACCUUUUCACUACAGCAAUCUUCUGUUUCUGCACUCAAUAAAGCUCUGGGCGUAAACUAUGAUAGGUUCCUAUACCUAUUCGCUGAGGGACAUAAGCUUCUGGUUUUGUGUCACACUUUUGGGCUAUGUUUUCAGAACCGGACCGAGUAUCGACUCGGCCGAGGUCAGGGGUCAGGGAUCAAUGGGUUCGACCGGGGGUCGAUAGAGGUCGAACCGGAUAACGUCAUAAAUAAAAAUUAUUUAAAAAUUAAAAUAUUAUAUAUAAAAUAUCUAAUAAUAUGUUAAUAUUAAUAAAGGUAUAUUCAUAUAUAUUUGAUGUUUCAAAUAUAUUUAACAAGAAAAUACAAAAAAAUUAGAACAAUCAAGGAGCAAUUUAUGUUAUUUAAUAAAUAUUAACAAGUUUAGAAUUAAAAUUAUGAAUUUAAUUGAAAAAUAACAUCAAAUUUUGGGACAAUAUUUAUAAAGUAUGAAAUAUUUGAGGUAUAUUAAUAAGUUUUAACAAUUUAGGGGGUCAAAACAUAAUAUUGAAAAGAUUGAGUUCUUUUUUUUUAAAAAUGCCCAUUGAACAGAAAAACCGAUUUUUUCCCGGUCAAACCCAGUCAAAUUCAAUUUUUGACCGGCUUUGACCGAGCUUUAAAUUUCUGAUUUUUUACUAUGACUCGGACCGAACACUUGGCCGAUUUUCGGUUCGACCGGCUGGUCCGAUCCGAGUUUCAAAACAAAGCUUUUGGGAACUCCAAAAGCACAAUGAGGGAUGUCAAUGUGUAUCUUGAACUUUUUCCUGACCCGAUCAUCCCAGCGUUUCUCCCUUAAACCUCUGUUUUGAAACUCGGACCGGACCGGCCGGUCGAACCGGGAACCGGCCAGGUAGCCGGUCCGAGUCAUAUUAAAAAACCGGAAAUUUAAAAUCCGGUCAAAGCCGGUCAAAAACCGGGUUUGACCGGGUAAAAACCGGUUUUUCCGGUUCAACAGUGCUUUUUUAAAAAAAAAUUUUCAAACUUUUUAAUAUUAUGUUUUGACCCCCUAAAUUGUUAAAACUUAUUGAUAUACCUCAAAUAUUUGAUACUUUAUAAAUAUUGUCCUAAAAUUUGAUGUUAUUUUUCAAUUAAAUUCAUAAUUUUAAUUCUAAACUUGUUAAUAUUUAUUAAAUAAUAUAAAUUGCUACUUGAUUGUUCUAAUUUCUUUGUAUUUUCUUGUUAAAUAUAUUUGAAACAUCAAAUAUAUAUGAAUAUACCUUUAUUAAUAUGAAUAUAUUAUUAUAUAUUAUAUAUAUAAUAUUUUAAUUUUUAAAUAAUUUUUAUUAAUGACGUCAUCCGGUUCGACCCCUAUCGACCCCCGGUCGAACCCAUUGACCCCUGACCCCUGACCUCGGCCGAGUCGCUAUCCGGUCCGGUUCUGAAAACAUAGCCUUAAACUUGAACCAAGAAUUAAAUCAUUCAUCUUGUUGAUGAUUGCUGAGUAUUUCUUCAGGUUGUGGCUUAAUUAAUAUGCCGUAAUGCAAAAGCAUGUAAUUAGCUUUUUGACCUUUCAAAACAUUGCAAAGAAUCAGUUUUUGUCCCAAGUGUUUUGAUUAGAAAUUCUAAUCUACCUUUUUCUUGUUUGAAUACAGAUUAACCACUCUUUCCUAAAAAUUUUCUACCUCUAUAUGGGCACAAUCUCUUCAUGCUUAAUCAUCAAUCAUUCACGCUUUUGUUCAUGGGAUCAAGCUUGUGAAUGAAUAAGUUGAAGUACCUAAAUGUCAAAAAACAAAUGUAAAAUAAGUUUUACCACAUCUAGUUGAUCUUCAGAGUUAACCAAACAAGGGAACUAUAGGGGUUUAUUACUUUUCCUGAGAUUUAAUUGCGUAGAAACAAGUAAAAUGCUCAUUGAGCGCUAGUUCCACAAUCCCAAUUUUUUUUCAUUACCAUUUGGUACUAUUAAUCAUAACUAGACCUAAUCUACGACUAAAUCAUGCAUUAAAAAUACUUAAGAUAUACGGUUAAAAUUUUAAUUUGUGGAAGAGAAUAUGAUUAUCCACUGUCAGGUACCUUUUCAGCUGAUAGACAAAUGCAGUGCAGAAAGUAGGACAGUAGGACGACUACCUUCUUUGGCUCAUUUCCUCCCCUAGUGUCCAUCAGAUUCUCUAGGGAACUAGUGGGAAGAAAGCGAAAGCAGCAUAAGCACAGAAACAAGGAAACAGGGGCACAUGGGAAGUGCAGUAAACCUAAGCGCAAUGCCAAACAAUAACGCCUUUUUUAAUCGUCAAGUGGGAGGACGCAGUACAGAAACACGAGAUCGGAAACCAAAGCGCGAUGCGCGAACAACAUAACGCCUUCAAAACAGCGAAGGAAUCAGGUUGAAUCCAAUUGGCACUUUAUGUACUUAUGUUGAUAAACAACAAUAAUAAAGAAAACUUUAGUUUUUGAAAUAUAAAUCACUAAAAUGUAGAAUAGAAAAAGAAAGCAAAAUGAUAGGCAAGGGAAAAACAAGAAAGUCCAAAAAAAAGGGGAAAAAAAAAAGAAGGAAAGUAAAGAAUGGCAAAGUUCGACAAUAUUUUUUUCCCCCAGCUGAUCAUUGCUUCAUCCUUUCCUUUCUUAGCAAAAAAAUGUACCAUUCAAUAUGUUAAUCCUGAGUGUGUGAGAGGGAGAGGGAGAAAGAUACACCAGCUGGGGUGGAUGAAGAAACCACCAAAGUAGAAUCAAUUUCUUCCUCCACUUCUGUGGGAUGGAGCUGUUUCACUGAGGUUUUCUAUUCUUGUGCAUGUUCCUUUUUGGUCUUACAAAUAUUUUUGGGCUUUGUAAUGGGUUGAAGUUGAUGUGGUUAAGGGGCUUUUUAGGCCUCAUGCCUUUUUUUCGUUUGGUUUGAUUAGUUGGGACUUGGGACUUGUGAAACGCAGGUAGAAAUUACUUGGGACUUGGGACUUGGUUUGACUAGGGCUUUCUAGUUUUACUGGUUUGUAUGGUUGGACAAGUUUCUGCAGGUAGUUCCUCUUUAGUCUUCUGAAAAAUUACUUGAAUUUGAAAAAGGUAAGGCACUUAACAUAUGGGCCUAAUAAAACCUUGAGAAAAACUUUAAUAAAUGGGCCUGAAAAAUAGUAGGCCUUGGCCUCGACAAAAAGUUUACCAAUAAAUGCUUAGGAUGUGCAAUAUUCAUACCUUAUCUGGUUAAAGACUUAAGAGAGAAAUGCAAUUUUGAUUCUCAAUGUUUGGCCUAUAUUCUGAAUUGGACCCCAAUGUUUUAAUCAAAAUAAAUGUGGUCCACAAAAUUUUUAAUUUUGAGUAGAUUUAAGACAAUUGAUAGAAAUUCAACCAUUCCUAACGGUCAAAAUCAAAUUUCCAUUAGUCAACUAUUUUUGAAUUUGUAUUUAGAGUUUUCAAAUUUUUUAAUUUAAAUCAUUAUAGUCCCUUGAGUUUGGAAUAGUAACAUUGAGGGUUUUAGGAUGAAACUAAAUAUGAAUUGUGUUGAAAAUGUGCUAUAUUUACUAAAAAAUUUAGUAUCAAAAAGUAUGAAAUAACAAAAUAGACCUUUCUUCUUCAUUUUUUGCUUCUUUAUUUCAUUAGUUAUAUUACUAAUUUCUAAUAUAUUUCCUAUCUUUUGCAUAGUUGAUCUCAAAUUUGGCAAAAUAUAUCUAAUCAUACCAAUAAUCAAUUGAUAAUGGAUUUUACCAAUUUCACUUAUAUUGAUAAUUAAGCACUCAAUUUAAUAUCCCUUUAAAAUGAAACUAUAUGUAAAUUAAGUUGAUUGAAAAACAAUUUUUCCUUUUAGAUUUUUUUGGCAUUUCAAUUGGUUAUCAAUUAAGUCUCAAAUGAAUAGAUAUUUUAUAUAAUUGUUUAAAUACUUUAAUAAAAUCAACAUUGUAGGUGAAUAUACAUAUACAUACACACACACAUACACAUAUUAAAAUUUUAUUAUUGAAAUAUUUAAUUUAGAAGGAAAGUCAAGAAAAAACAACAAGCAGUCUUUUCAAUUGGCUUUGCGAGAAGGCCGCUUUGUACUUCACUCCGUAAUUACUUUUACACAUUAAUGUAAUCAUGAAUCUUAACCAUAACCGAUUGAAGCCCACCUCCACAAAUCAUGCGAUAAUUUAUAUAAUAGUGUUAGAAUAAAGUUAUAUACUAAAAAUUAGGAUAUUAUCCAUGUAUCAUUAUUCAUGAUACAUGAAUAAUAUCCAUGUACCAUUAAAAAUCACUACUUUUUAAAGAUAUUAUCCAUGUAUCAUUAUUCAAUUGUACUUAAUUCUACAAAGAAAUGUUUUUUAGGCUAAAAGAUUGUGUUGCGUCAGUGUGAAGUGUUUUUAGCAUUUUUUAUAGGAUUUUAGAACACAUUUAUCAUGCAUUUUGGUUCAUAUUUUACUUCUUUGAAAACCUUAAAUAUAACCAUUUGAAACAUAAAAGGACCAUAUUGAUCAAAAUUUCAAAAUUUAUGAACCAAAAAUGCAAAAUUAAAACUUUUGACUAACUCCAAUUUGAUUUUGAUCAUCAAAUUUUGUAAUUUUUCGUUAAUUGUCCAAAACAUGCAUAAAAUUAGAAACUCUAAGGGCCACAUAUGCUUUGGAUGAAACAUUAGGAACUAAUUUAGAACAUCAACCAAACAUUAGAGACCAAAAUUGUAAUUCUCCCUAGAAUUAAAUUUAUGUUGACAUAUAUGUGGCACGUUAUUGGAUGUUCAGCUAUGAGUGCUGAUUUAUGGCAAUGAAGUUAUGCUUUUUUAUAUAUAAAAAUAAAAAUAUAGUUAAAGAAUUGAAUUUAAAACAAAUAAUUUGCCAUUUAGAAGAAAGAUUAAGAAAUCAAGCUGCUAAACGCCAAACUUAUAUUUUUUUUGGCCCGGGGGAGGGGGGGGGGGUGUUGGGGUGUUAUUCAUUGUGUGCUCGCUUGGAAUCGUUGUCCUAAAAUUUUCUUCUGUCCUAUUUGUCCUGUGUUUACACAGCUGUCACAUGUGUUGAUUGCAUUGAUGACUCAAGCAAACCUUUAAUUGUUGAUCGAGUUUGUAUCAAUUUGGUUGAGUUAUCAAUGCAUCAAUACACGUGACAGUUCGUAAACACGAGACAAACGGGAUAGAAGUAAUUUGAGAGCAGAGGAUUUGAAGCGUUGUGUACUUGACCCUUAUUAACAGAAACCGUUUACAACCUUUUUUUUGUGCCAGUUACAGAAACUCCCAAGGAAACUGUCCAUUCACAAGCUAUAACCAAAAUACAAGAAAAUGAUAACAAAAUACCAAGGGGAGAAAAAGGCAAUAAAAAAUUUUCUAUAAGAGAAAGAAGCAGGCUCAAAGAUGCUAUGACUUCUUGCCAAACCAGCGAGAACUGCAGCCAUAGACAUCGCAAAAAGCUUGAAAAGCUAGCAGCACCACUAUUAAUACAUAAAGAAAAAUUCUGACACAAACUUCUGAUGGUCUAAAAUGUUGCCUCAGAUAUGUCCACAUUUUGAUCCUGAAUGAAUCAUCAUAUCCUUUAUUCAAUUCAUCAAUGG